UCAAACAAACUGUCGACGGUAUUUGAUAAUUAAAGUUUUUAUUGGGUAGCAACAAUUAAAAUUAUUUAAAAUCAGAAAAAUAGAGAGGGGUUCUAGGUCCGAGAUUGAAACCAAUCCUUAAACCCUAACGCCGUAAUCUUCGUCUCCGGCUUCACAUUUCUCUCCAGACAUUGUUGGGACCCGAACGCCAUGAACUACCGCUUCCAGAACCUUCUUGGCGCCCCCUACAGAGGCGGGAACGUCGUCAUCACGAAGAACACUCAGCUUAUUUCACCCGUCGGCAAUCGUGUCUCCGUCACGGACCUCCACAAGCACCAGGCGGUUACUCUUCCGAUCUAUACCUCUUCCAAUAUUUGUCGUCUUGCUGCCUCUCCCGACGGGACUUUCCUAAUUGUUGUCGAUGAAAAUAAGCGAUGCCUCUUCAUCAACGUUCCCCAAAGGGUCAUUCUUCACAGAAUGAGCUUCAAGGAAAGAGUCGGCGCCUUGAAGUUCAGCCCUAAUGGCAAGUACUUCGCUGUCGGGAUAGGUAAGUUGGUCGAGAUAUGGCAAUCACCUGGUUUCAGUCGAGCGGUUUUCGCCUUUGAGCGUAUUAGGACUUUUGCUAAUUCUGAUGAUAAAGUUGUCUCCUUGGAGUGGAGCUUGGACUCUGAUUAUUUGCUUGUUGGGUCAAAGGAUUUAGCAGCUAGGCUGUUUUGCGUCAGAAAGUUGAAGGGUGUCUUAAAUAAACCUUUUUUGUUGCUGGGUCACAGAGAUUCUGUUGUGGGUUGCUUCUUUGGUGUUGAUAAAUUGACUAACAAGGUCAACAGAGCUUUCACCAUUGCACGGGAUGGUUACAUAUUUAGUUGGGGCUAUAGCGGAAAGGAUAUCAAUUUGGAUGAAGCCGAAGAUGACCACUCUGAGCCACCCUCUCCUGAUACUCCAGAGAGGGCUGAUGAGGUAAUGGUGGAAAAUGGUGUUGGUAUUGGCACUGAUAUUAAAAAACGAAAAAAGUAUGACGGUAGAGGUCGUGAGUCAGAAGAUGAUGAUGAUGAAGAGUAUAUGCAUAGAGGGAAAUGGGUUUUGUUGAGGAAGGAUGGUUUUAAUCAGGGAUCAGCUAAAGUGACAGCUUGUGACUAUCACCAGGGGCUCGACAUGGUUGUGGUUGGGUUCUCAAAUGGUGUUUUCGGGCUUUAUCAGAUGCCAGAUUUCAUCUGUAUUCAUCUGCUGUCUGUUUCUAGGGAGAAGCUAACAACUGCUGUCUUUAACGAGCGUGGUAAUUGGCUGACCUUUGGCUGCGCGAAACUUGGGCAACUGUUAGUCUGGGAGUGGCGAUCUGAAAGCUAUAUACUGAAGCAACAAGGACACUAUUUUGAUGUGAACUGUGUCACUUACUCACCUGAUUCACAAUUCUUGGCAACUGGUGCUGAUGAUAACAAAGUCAAGGUAUUAAAAUUUCAAAUACUUAACUAUUUUGUUCUAUGCCAUGCUUAUCAUCUAAAUCUGAAGUUAACCAGCCCCUGUUUUUUAAUGUUACAUUUUACAGGUGUGGAACCUUACAUCAGGAUCAUGUUUCAUCACCUUUACAGAGCACACCAAUGCAGUCACUGCUCUUCAUUUUAUGGCUGAUAACCACUCCCUCUUAAGCGCUUCUCUUGACGGCACUGUUCGUGCUUGGGAUUUUCGAAGAUACAAGAACUACAAAACAUAUACAACCCCUACACCCCGGCAGUUUGUUUCCUUAACAGCAGACCCAAGUGGUGACGUCGUCUGUGCUGGGACCCUAGAUUCAUUCGAGGUAAUACAACUUAUGGCUUUACUGAUUUCACUCACGUACUCACAGAUACAGACUCGCAGGUUCGUAGGGUGAGGUGAUUCACUUUUCUACUUGCCUAUCUACAGAUUUUUGUAUGGUCCAAGAAGACUGGGCAAAUAAAGGAUAUUCUGAAUGGGCAUGAGGCUCCCGUUCAUGGGUUAAUGUUUUCUCCCUUGACGGUAAGUAAACUGUAGUAGUCUCUUAUGUCGUUUGGUCUAAAUAUAUUUUGUUUCUUGACUCAAAACAAAUAUGUAAAAGCUAGCUAAUGACGUAGUAAUUUUUUGGAGUAAUGUAUACUUCUUGCUUAUGGUGUUAUAACUCCCAUGCCUUAUCUAGAUACAUAUUUCUUUCUUUGCAGCAAAAUUUAGCUUCAUCAUCAUGGGACAAUACGGUUCGGUUGUGGGAUGUGUUUGCUAGCAAGGGCACAGUGGAGACGUUUCAACACAACCACGAUGUUCUAACAGUUACUUUCCGUCCUGAUGGGAAGCAGCUAGCCUCGAGUACGCUAGAUGGGCAGAUCCAUUUCUGGGACACCAUUGAUGGUGUGUUGAUGUACACCAUAGAGGGGCGGAGAGAUAUCGCUGGAGGUCGCAACAUGACUGACCGUCGGUCUGCGGCUAAUUCAACUUCUGGAAAGUGCUUUACAACAUUGUGCUAUUCCGCUGAUGGAGGUUAUCUUCUAGCCGCAGGAAAUAGCAGAUAUAUUUGCAUGUAUGACAUCUCAGAUCAGGUUAGCUCAUUAGCUCUUUUUUUUUGGAAUUCAGCUUUUCUUGGCCUCAAAAGUUUGAUGCUGAUUUGAAAGCUCGUGUUUUGCUUAUCAAAGAAACUUACUCAAAAGGUCUGAAAUAUUUACCUUUUUCAGGUUCUGUUGCGCCGGUUUCAAAUAUCCCGUAAUCUCUCAUUAGAUGGGGCUCUUGACUUACUGAACUCCAAGAAGAUGACGGAAGCAGGACCAAUGGAUCUGAUUGAUGAUGAUAACAGCGAUGAAGAAGAUGGCAUUGAUAAACAGUCUCGGGGGAAUUUGGGUUAUGAUCUGCCUGGAUCCAGGCCUAACCGCGGCAGGCCCGUUAUCCGGACAAAAAGCCUCAGCAUUGCCCCAACUGGGAGGAGCUUUGCAGCUGCAACAACGGAAGGAGUUCUUUUCUUUUCAAUUGACGAAUCCUUCAUCUUUGAUCCAACCGAUCUUGACAUAGACGUGACACCAGAGGUGAGCCUUUUGUAAAUCGAUUCAAUGUGUCAGGUUUCUUGUCUGAUUAUCACCUUUAUAAGCGGGUGAUGUUUAUAGUUCUGAUUAUUGGUUCUGAAAAAGCAAAGGUAAUGUGUUGUUUGCGUAGGCGGUUGAGGAUGCCAUAGAGGAUGAUAAAGUGAGCAGAGCACUUGCUCUGAGUAUGCGUUUGAACGAAGACAGCCUCAUAAAAAAAUGCAUCUUUGCUGUAACCCCUGCAGACAUAAAAGCUGUUGCAAUCUCUGUCCCCCAGAAAUACUUAGAAAGGCUUAUGGAAGCUUUGGUGGAUCUGCUUGAGAACUGUCCUCAUCUGGAGUUCUUACUUCGCUGGUGUCAGGUAUGCUCUUUCUUUCCUAUUCUCCGUUAAUCUCUUACCUAACUGCUCUUAGCUGAUCGAACUUUGUAUUUAUGUUCAGGAAAUCUGCAAGGCACACGCAAGCUCCAUUCAGCGAAACUACAGAAAUCUACUGCCAGCACUGAGAUCGCUGCAGAAGGCAAUCACCAGAGCCCACCAGGAUCUGGCAGAUAUGUGUUCUUCCAACGAGUACACACUUCGCUACUUGUGUUCUGUUCCAAACAAUCAUUAGUUCUGUUUUCUUUUUCUUAUGGGAAACUCUGAAAUUUUGAUCUUCCUUUGCGGGCAAAUAUUUAUGAUAUAUGACUAAUGAGUUUUGAAUUCAAAAACAAAAUGGAGCUUAGAAUGUGAAUGUCUUUUCUACCAUGGGAAAUAAGCUCGGAGCUAUGGUAACUUUAUGAAGAAAAUUAAAUGUUUAACAACCAUAAAAAAUAAGAAGAAUGUGAAUUUUUGAUUAAAUUUUGAAUAUGCGAAGAUGAGCUCGCAGCUAUGGAUACUUUGACUAACAGACACUUAAAAUACAACAAAAUUUAGAUUAUGCCUAGGACCAGAGCUGAUGUCGCUAUAAAACCUAAACACUGAAGUACAUUAUGGAUAAAGAAUCAAGGGAGACAUCAAAACUUUGAUCAAAGUCACAAGACAUAGCACUUGAAUCUUCACGGAGUCCAUCUAGGAUACAUGGGCGCAUGGAACUCCAAUCGGGGCAUGUUCGCUGGAUAAUUGGCAGCACUUGCUUGGCUCCUUGAACCAAGAAAGAGAUCGUGCAUGAAAGCAUCAAAGUUGAGAUCGAUCAUGGGAUGUUGGUAUGGAAGCUGAUGGAGAGAGUUGGCCAACAAUCUCUGUUCUGCUUCCCAUCUCUGACGAGCAUUGAGCAUUUCAAUGUACUCGGCUUCUCUUUCCAAUUGCUCCCACAUGUGUUGCUCCCAAAGUUCCAACUUUGGCGAUAUAAAACCCGGAUGCACAGCUUUCAAGUGGGUUUUAAGCUGAGAAUAGGUCCCCGAGAAGUCACACUUGUCCAUAGAACAGCACCUGGGCCUAGCAUUCAUGAAUCUCCGUGCGCAAGUAGACUUCAUUGUCCCGUAAACCUCUCCUCUGCAGUAGGGACAGUUUAGAGUCUUGCCACUGCAGCGACUUGUGUUCUUGUUGUUGUUUCUGCGGAACUGCUUGAAGCAGUUGGAGUGACGGGCGCUUGUGUCACACAUGUAAGCACGACAUCCUUUGGAGAAGGAAGCACAUUGCAAGAGGACAGCAUUGUGUGGCGGCUCCAUGCAGAUCACACACCUCACAUCCUCCCAUUCACUCACACUCUCUGACUCGACAGGUGACUCCACUUCUUUUUGUUUCUUGCUCCUACAAGAGCGAAGCGGGUAAGGCGAUACCCUACUCCUGUUGCUUGAAACCGGCAAAAUCCGUCUUUCCUUCAGCAUCUCACACACACUGAAAGCAACACAAAAGAGUUAUCUUCCGAACAAACACAUAAACAGAUAUCAUAGAGAGUCAGUUCUCUAAAACACGACAUCAAAGACAGAGACACAAAUAAUCUUAUAUUAGAUUUGAAACAGGACAAGGUCAAGGACACAGAACUUAGUCCUAGUGAAUGUUACAUUUCCGACAAAUGAUAGCAGAACAUGAUGAUUUCAACUCAAAAUAUUCGUAUUUAUCGGUCAAUUAAAUUGAAACUAUUCACUUAUCAAAAACAGUUGUAGACUUGUCCAAAAAUCCUUUAAUCAACGGUUAAACAUUCGAAUCAGCCAUAGAUUUCAGAGCAGGAAACAGAUCAAUUAGAUUUCAAUUUAACGAGUCGAUGAGAUUCUUGGCCCAGGAAAGAAAAUACAAAACAAAAACCAAACGCGAAAUUGAUGCCCAGAAAAUUCUGAUCACAUCCACAGACCGCUAAACGACACAACGUCAUCGGAUCGAGAGAUUAGGCAACGAGUAAUCGCCCAAAGAAAACGAAUGAAACGGAAGAACAAAUAAUAAUAAUAAUAUAAAAAAAAGGAUUUUACCUGGCCGGAGAAAUGAAAGAGGCUUUGAGAGAGAAAAGUAGAGAGAGAGCCUCGUAAAGAGAGUUUCGUAUGAAACGGUGAAAUGAAGAAGAAAAAUAAAAAUGGAUGCGCGUGCGUGAAUGUGAGGUUGCCGGUGGGGUUUUUAUAGGCGUCGAGACGUCUUUUCAGUUUUUUUUUCAAACAUGACGAAACUGCCCUUCCCUCCUCGUUGUAAGUCCACCCUCUCUCUCUACUUUCCUUUGCCAAUUUAACCACAUUUGUCUUUUUGACUUUCUUUGCCGUUGCUUUUCCUUUUAAACGGCUUAUAAAGUUUUUGUGUUUUUGCUAACAUUUCAAUACGUGUCGUACCAAAAACACACAUCAUCCACACACAUGAUAAGCUGUUAUGGUAUUUCUUUUUUCCAUUCAAAUCUAUUAGAAAUAAAUCAUUAAUUUCAAUUUAUAGAGAUAUCCAAGAUAUAAUUGUUGGUUUAUAAUUAGUCAAAACUAUUAUAAAAUCAAGUCAUAUUUUUGUUUCUAUAUAUUUUAAAAAUAAAAUCAAACAUAAUAUGUAGUUAUCUACAAUCUACUACAUGUCAUAUCAGUCUUACAUCUGUUGGGAUCUGUAUAGAUGUUGAUUUUAGUUAUCCUAUUCGAGCCAGAUUACAAUACAGACUCUACAGGUAGCUUUAUAUGUCUAUGUAUUUGUGUUUUGAUAUUGAUAUUUUUAAAAAUAGAUAAGAACAAAUCAUAACGUUAACUUUUUUGCUUUAGCAAAAAAAAAAAAAUUCUUUCUUAUUUCCAAAAUAUGUAUCUUUAUUCUCUGUAUCUUUUUCAAAAAUAUUAUCUUUCUUAUUAAGUGGGGGUGAAAGGAAGAAAAUAUAUAUAUAUUCAAAAAUAGCUGUCUGUAUAUACAUAUUGUCUUUUUGUCCUUUUGACGUAUGUAUAUACAUAUUAUCUAUCAAAUUUGAAGGUGUAAGAUUACAUAACAUACGUGCAAAUAGAAAUGCACAUACCACAAUCCAAAAUCCAUCAGUUGCCACUAAUAUGCAGGUCAAAUGGAUUAGCCCAUGUGACAGGCUUCCAACUACUAAUAGAAAAAGCUUAUCCAAACUAAUUAUUGAGAAAAUGUGAAAUACCGUUUUUCUUGUUAUAAAAUUAAGCAGAAAAAAAAUGAUUAUACAAAAAUACAUUGGAACAGAUUACAUAAAAAGUAAACUCAGCCCAACUACUGACUUAGGUCGGCCCAAUAGAGUAAAAGCACUUCAACCCACCCAAUCUGACCCGACCCGACCCGUAGGUUUUAACUGUAAAGUUGUUGAGACUAGAACCCUAAACCCGCGUCGGCUCUCUCUCUCUUUCCGCUUCUUUCGUACAUCGCCGACCAUGGCCAAGGAGAAACUGAAGCCUCUACCCACCACCUCUGAUGGAGGUUCGCUUCAUUCUCUCCUCUCUCGUCAAUUUUGCUGCUCGUAGCUCUGUCACAUGGUGAAACCCCCUUCUCUUGUUUUUUUUUUAUGAAUUCAACAGGUGAAAUCGCCGACACUCCUUCCCGAGAGAAGAAGCAUAAGAAGAAGAACAGGAAGCGAGCUGAACCUGAUCCCGAUUUACCCGCAGCGAGAGAGUCCGGUAAGAGAUUAUCUAAUACUUGAUACCCAGUUGCUAAAAAUUCACAUUUUCUGCAAGGCUAGAUUGUUGAGGAUAAAGCUAUUGAGUGACUCCAGCUAGAGAUUGCAUGGCUUGAAUCUUAAUAUUAGGGUUCCUAUUUCUUGAUAUAUAGGUCUUGAUGAAGAUACAGAUGGAGUGCUGGUAGAUGAUGCUCAUAACGAGCCGACCAUGGGUGAUAAAUUUGAGAGUCUUAAAUUAGGCGGAGAAAAACUUAGCACUGAGGAGAGUAAUAGAGCUUCUGCUCCGAUCGAUCAUAAGCCUCCUACCGCAGCCUCUGUUAACGUUCUUCUGAGACAAGCAUUGCAUGCUGAUGACCGGUCUCUUCUACUGGAUUGCUUGUACAACCGAGAUGAACAGGUUCGGAAGAUCUUUUCUUUACCUUUUUGGUUGUUUGUUUCGUUCUUGGUUUCUUGUUAAUUCUUCCAGUUUUAUAUGCUUUACAGGUAAUUGCUAAUUCGGUUGCUAAGUUGAAUUCAGCAGACGUACUCAAGCUUCUAAAUUCCCUUCUACCGAUACUACAAUCAAGGUGAGAGCUGGAGAUAUAGUAAUCUGUUUUAUGUGUUUGUUGGAGCUGAUUUUCAAGUGGUGAUUUUUUUUUUUUUUUUUUUUUUUUUUUUACUUUCUUGCUUUGCAGGGGUGCAAUUUUAGCUUGUACCAUUCCUUGGAUAAAGAGUCUGUUACUUACUCAUUCCAGUGGGAUUAUGUCCCAAGAGUCAUCGCUGCUCGCAUUAAACUCCAUAUAUCAGGUUAGGAACUGCCCGAGUUUAUUGUCACAUCGCGCGUGGCUCGGUUAGAAACACAGAACAGAGAGUCUGGAAUAGAUGAAUCAUUGAUAUGCGUUUUAUUGUUUGUGUGUGCAGCUCAUUGAAUCACGGGUAUCAACUAUUCAUACGGCCGUUGAAGUUUCAAGCGGCUUAGACUUGGUAUGUAUUACAUUGCCCUAAAACGAGGAAGAAUUUUGAUUUCAGCCUGUAGCCUAGGGGUAACAUUAGUUUGGUUUUUGAUUCCAUGGAUCGCUUUGGGAAAUAAAUAACGCAAUGGAAGUCUUGGGGUCACUUUAGCAUAGAAUAUAGUGACAUUUAGACUGUAUAGUAUGUUACUGAUUCGUGUUAAUGAUAGAUUGUGGACGACUUGGAUGAUGAAGAAGAAGAUGGAGGUCCUGUGAUCUAUGAAGAUAAGGACAGUGAUGAAGAAGGAGGAGAAGGAUCAGAGGAAGGAAUGGAGACGGAUGACGAGGCAGACGAAUCGGCGGAUGAAGCAGCUGAUGGUGUCAAUGAUUUUGAAGGUUUUGACGACAUGAGCGAUUGAGGAGGACUCCUGAAAAUGGGAAAAGUUUUGAUUUGUGUCAGGCUGGUUGAUUGUUAGAUGUUAAGAGUGGGGUUAAAAGGUACAAUCUCACGUCUAGAUGUCUCGGCACGAACUCUGUAAUACGUAGUGGUUAUAUCGAUAUUGACGAGACUUUGUAUUGAGAACGAGUUUAUUAUGUAUUCUGAAAUGAAGAAAAACAAAAUUGACGAGAAUAGGAAAAACGUAUUGCAAAAAUGGAAAGAGCAAGGUUUUGGGGAGAGGGUUGAAUAAGUCAAGCCUGGUUUAGAAAAUGAUGGAUCAUAGAAGCGACAAGCUCUCCUUGGAAAAUGGAACACCAUCGAAUACAGAGGAGAAAAUGUUUUAUAAAGACAUGAUCUUAUUAUAUAAAAGAAGGAAAUUGUUUAAGAAGAAAGGAGAAUAAGUAAGAAAUGGCGAGCGGACAGAAUGAGGAUUUCAGUGUGAAGGCCGGCCAAAUCGUGGGCCAAGCUCAAGUCAGUGGUCUUGUUCAAUUUCUCCACCACUUGUGACUUUUUAGCAAUCGUAUUGAUUUCUAUGCUAAUUACAAAGUAAAAAAAAUAUAUAUAUAUAGUAAAAGUAAGAGGUGUAAAGUGGAGAAAUCUGAUGUCUGAAACAGGUGAAGAGAGAAGAUUGCAAAGUGGACAACACCAACUCUUCUCAAGCAUCAGGCUUUUUCCAGCAGGUUAACUAACACAUCAACUCUACAUGUUGUUUGUGUUGUAUCUUUGGUUUUUUUUUGUGUGUAAGAAAUAAGAAUGAUGAUAUUUCAGAAAGGGGAGAAAGUGAAGAGCAUGGCGCAAGGAGCAUCAGAGGCAGUGAAGAACACAAUGGGGAUGAGCAAUGACAACAGCAACGAAUAUAAGAAAAAGAACCCUUUGGACAGGAAGAACCCUAACAACACAACCUGUCCAAGCAUGCCUGGUCAUCCUCCUUCCGAUAUUUAACCAUUUCCACAAAUAUCAUCCUCGUGUCUUUAAUCCUUUUUAAUUCCAAUAAAAAUUGUCUAUAAUAAUAAGGGAUAUUACACAAUGCAAUCCAAGCCAACAUAUGUUCAAACUUAUUUGGCUUUUAGACAUGUUCACACUUGUGUUGGCCAAAAACUAAUAACAAGACAUGUUUGAGUGACUUUGGUUUUAGUUUUGGAAAUGAUCUUUACAUCACAAACACCGGUUUACACUUUGGUAAUUCUUCCCCAGGCGAGCUACUUUUCUUUUUAGAUACUUUAUACACACUCACAAAAUCCAGCUAUGGAUUCACAAACUCCAACUACGGAUUCUCUUUAGAGAUAAGAUCAUCGACUCUCUGCCCAUUUGAUGGCAGACCUUGCAAGUGCAUCCAUAGGAUCAACGCACUUCUUCAACAGAGGAUCAUCCCCUGGCAAGAGUUCUCGCAUCUCAUCUGAACCGAGCACCACCACAUUCACCGCCUGCACCAGCAGCACCUGCAAUGCUAUCCUCAGAAGGUUCCGUGCUCCUUCCAUGUCUUGUCUCUUUAUCGCUUCUAUGGCCGGGAUCACCGUGUGCUCCAUUGUCGCCUUGUCUGGAAGCACCGCUUCAAAUCCCUGUUUACAAACAAGUAUCAGACUCGCUUAGACAAAAAUGAUAACAAUUAUGUUGUUCCAAUGGACACAAUAGAAUACUGACAUUGCUCUGUAGUCUCUCUUGGUAGAAUCCUGAGGAUAACGUGGCACUAGAGGCCAUCACACCUACGCGCAGAGGAUUCCCAGCUUCAAGAGGCUUCAUUUUCGCCUCUCCCAGCUCUUUAGCAAUGCAUUCACCCAUGUGAAGCAAUGGAACCGAGCUUCCUUCACAAACCUCCUCAUACCAUGUAUGUGCAAUAUGACAAGGCAUUAGGAUUAACUUAGCUCCACAUCUCUCGAGAGUUCUUCUCUUGUUCCUUAGAUUUUCCACAAUCUGUUUCGGAUCCACCGGAGUACACUCUGCUCUAUGGUAGAGAGAAGGAUAAGAGUUCUCCUCGUAUGAGAGAAGCUCCUUGUUGAGUGCAGGAUCAGAGCAAAGCACGAAGGGUAAGGAGCUUUUACCAUCUUGUGAGCUCCAAUCAACGAGUUUCUUCACAAAAUUCAGUGUGGAACCUGUUGAAACACCUCCGAUAAUCCCCACCGUGUUGGCCUGCCUGACCAAAGAAUCUUCAGAGAGACUUUUUAAACUGUUUCUCGAAUCUUCACUCAGACAAAAGCCCUUCUUGGACUUGGGAAGAUCGCUGCUUUCGUCCAUCUGCAGUAGGACUGAUGACGGUGGCGUGGCUAGAACACGACUUAGUCUUACCCUACACGAAAUCCGAUUGGAACAGCAUACAUGAGCUAAACCAUGAGAUGGGUUUGUGAAAGUCUGAAGAUACAUCACCAAGCUUCUGUCUAAAAAAUGUUUUUGAUAGUAGUUACUAACUCCAGAUACACCUCUGACAGAACUAGCCAAAGUUUCCAACUUGUUCCUUCCCUACAAACCUGAAUCUGACCUCACAUUCAAGUUCCAAAUCCAGCUCAGAUUCAAAAAAAGGAAAAAGAAGAAAGGAAGCAACUUUAUGUUACAAGACUCGCAGGUAGUCUGAGGGAAGAACCUCUGUCUAGCUUUUUGGAGUAAGAUCCUAGAAUCUGUAACAUCAACUUACUUUCUGCACUUGCCAGCUGAAUCAGUACUUCUCCUCAAUAAUACAGAAGUUAUACACAAGAUUCUCUUGGAAAACAAAUCUUUGUAAUUCGUUGGGCAGGAUGAUGGAUUGCCUUUCUGUUUUCAGAAAGGCAGAAACAAAAAGGAAAAGUAGUAGAGGAACAGGUGGGGCAUCAGAACAACGGCCUCAAAUCAACCCAAUGCUUUUUCAUCUCUAUCAAACAAAACCAUCAGAUGAAACCGGACCAGUAGUAGUCGCAUCAAGUUGAAGUGAGGAAUCUUUGCCUCUCAGAUUUCCACUUGGAAUAUAUAAUUUUGUUAUUGGAUUUCACCAUCAGGCAGUAAAGAAGAAGAGAGGGGAAAACUUUCUCAACGUAAGGCGAUAAAAUCAAGAAGAGGUGUGUCUGUCUCUGUCUGGUUUCUUUUUCCAUUUCUUGUGAUAUUUUUAUAUAUAUUUCCUGCAACUUGUGGGUUGUCUCUGUUAGGUGGAUUCUUUCGUCUUCUUGUCAGCUACUGAAUCCCACAUGGUCCAUCAGCCAUCUAAGGGUCCAGUCGAAUUUUAUAAUUCCUCAAUCAAUGGAAUUCUCCAGAGACUUGUGUUUUGUAAGAGAUGUGCAGCAGGGAAUGAUCUGAUGAUGGACAGAAACAGCUUAGGGUAGAUACGAAUGGAGUUUCUUUGCUCACUUGUACAAAACAUGACCUGAUAAAAGCCGGAGAAAGCUAAAAACGAAUUGUUACUCUUUCAACACAAGCUAAAAGACAAUGAUGUGCAGCAGCCAGCAGGUAAUGAUCUGACGAUGGACAGACAAUGCAGAAACAGCCAAAGGUAGAUAUGAAUGGAGUUUCUUUGCUCAUUUGUACAAACCAAUGAGCUGAUUUCAUAGAAGUCUUCCAAAACGUAACAGCCUGAGAAAAGCUCCCACUAACACAUAAACAACUACCAGCAAAAAUUUCACAUUUAAUCCCCCCCCCCCACCCCAGAAAACCACACACACAAAGAGAGCAGCAAGAACAGGUCAAUAGGAUCCAAGCUUCAUGUGAAAAUAAAAAGUGAAACACAUACAAUUUUGAUGUUAAAGGCGAUCUUGGUAGCAUCUAAUUACUCAACAAACAAUGUCAGGCAAACCCAUCUCACUCGCUCUUUUCAUUGCAUCACAUUUCUUCUUCUCCCCCUCCACCUGCGUCAACACCAAACUCAACUCCCUCCUCACAGCUGCGUUUUCCUGCCGUUGCGUUUGCUGCGCAAUGCACGCAUUGUUUCUGUAGCGGUCCAAUACAGAGUAGACGUUUCGAGGACCGAACGAGAAAGGCUUCUUGGCGGGAGAGGAGACGAUGAUUGCAACCUCCACACCGCACAAAGAGACCGGUUCUGCGUUUCGAGAACGUUAUACUUGUCUGUGGCUCUUCCUUUCUUCUUCCAAGUCAUUUGCUUCUCGAUACAUUUCGGUGGAAGGAUUGUUUCUUCAUCCCUUUAAUAUAUACAGAUGCUUUGAGUCUUGAAUGUGGUGUGUCAAUAUCAGUCUUGCAUUUGUAACACCCAUUUGUCAUUACUCAGUUUCUAUUUAAUUUUGUUGACAGAUAUUGAAUUCACAAUAUUUUGUGUGAGUUAUCAAAAUCUAAUAUAUUAAUAUUGUGGUGAUUAAGGAGAGAUUUAGCCAUAUAUAAUGACAGUUGUCGACCGUUUCCCUAGCUGAAUGUUUCUUUGAGAAAACCGAUUUGCUAAUCCCAUUCACAUGUCCACAUGUACAUGCUUUAAACUUCAAAUUAGUGUAAUCAUGAGGAAAACAGAAGAUACAUAAGAUAAGAGGGUUAAUUAUUUGCUUGAAUAAUACUAUAUGUUAUACGAUGAAGUUGACUUAUUUACAAAUUGGCACACAGAGUUACUUUGACCCACUUUCACCUCUUCAUUAUAUUUUCUUCCUUUCAAAUUAAAACGAGAGAUUUGGCAUCUUAUCUUUCACUCACUCUCCUAAUAUAUUUGGUUACCCAAACGAGAAGAAGAUUUCAUUUUAAAUUUAAUCAUGUCCUAAAAGUCAAUUCUCAUGUUCGUUUCUAACCUGUUAUCUAAUCCACGCCAUUUGUUUAUUAAAAAAGCCUACGCCAUUUGAGCUUUUAAAGAAACAAAACAAAUAUAAGAUUGUCCAUUUAUAUACGCUAAUUAAAUUAAGUUUGAUUUUUAAUAUUUUAGUAGGUAAUGUUAAUGUUUUAUAAAGUUGAUUUUGAGAUGAGUAAAAAUGAAUUUUAACUAUCCCCUAUAUUAUCCUAGUUUCACUGAAGGUAUUAUUUCUGCAAAUACUUUAAUUCUGAUCCUAGCUAGUUGUUACAAAAAUGAAUUCAAAUUGGAAACAUCAUGAUCGUAAUAAUAUAACAGUAAUGAUAGUGGACCGACACGCAUUUAAACAGUGAGGACAGAAACAAAAGGAAGAAAGUCUGGAACACAAUGAUUAAUCAAUCACUUAUAAAAGCAUAAUCACUUUUUUUUGGUAAAGUCUUUUAGCUGAAAAGAAACGAAGAAAACAAGAGCCAGAGAGAGAGAGAGAAAAGAGAGAGAGAUCCAUGGAGGGUCUUCAAAGAUCAACCACCUCCUUCCGCCGUCAGGGAUCUUCCGGUAUAGUCUGGGACGAUCGUCUCAUCGCCGAGCUCAAUAAACAGGCCAACGAGCAGAAAGACGAAAGUCAACGCGACGAGCAGCCUAAGCCGAUGUCGGAAAGCUCGGAGCAAGGAAAACCGAUCGCCGGCGAUGAGAAAGACAAACUCAGACCAAUCAAAACCGGUUUACCAGAACCGGGAGGAAUCGAGAGGAGUCGAUCUAAUGGCGGAGGAGCACCACGGCAUCACCGAGCAACCGGAAGAGUGUCUCCGGCGGUGGACCCGCCGUCUCCGAGAGUCUCGACUUGCGGUUGCUGCUCUGCGUUUGGGAAGAAACCGCCGGGGAAGAAGAAUAAUCCGAGGAAGAGGCCACCGAAGCGCAGAUCGAGGUAGGCGGCGCAGGAUAAGAUUGAAGAGAAGAAAAUAGUGUAUACUGUCUUUGAUCUUUCUUUUUUUUUUGUUUUGUUCCUUCUGUGUGCUCAAGCUACAAACUUUAAUCUCAUUUUCUAUUUUCUCUCGUUAAGCUUAUAGAUCGCAAUACUUUGGAUUUUCUGGGUGUUUGUAAAUUAGCUGUCUUUUUUUUUUCAUCGGACAAAUUCCAUUUCUGUACAAUUCAAAACGACUUUCCGAUUUUGGGGAUCCACAAAACAUUCUUCUUUCUCGGGGAGAGAUUAUCGAUCUCCUUAGUAAAAUUCAAUAUUUUUAAGAGAAAUCAAUGCACUUCUAAUUUCUUCCGAUGACUCUUCGAAUCUUCAAGGGUUUCGAACCGGGCAGCCGCCGGAAGAGACGUCGGCGGAUCGUAAGCAAGAAAGACGUUUAAUAUUGCUUUUGACUGCGUUGAUUGGAAAACGGACGGCUGUGAUUAGAUCUUUUACUUUUAAUUAAUGUUAAUGUUGAGCUCUAAUUAUAUUUGUUUACUUGAUCCCGCCAAGGAUGAGGGGCCAAUUCACCGCCGCAUUUCACGGCUUCGCCACCGUGUCUUGUCCCGAUCGAGCAAGACAUAACCUUUCCGGUUUCUCUCCUUUUAAAAAAUAAAACAUCUGAAGAAUAGCUGUCUUAAAUUGUAGGAAUUCUGUCUUAAAUUAUUUCUUCAAUACAUUACAAAAAAACACUCUUUCCGUCGAAGUUUUGAUCUCUAAAAGAUAUAUGGGUUUGCGUCUUUGAAGAUUCUGUCAUUGAGGCCCGAGCUUAGGACAGCCUUCUGCAAGAGGCAAGUCCAAGUUGUCGACUGUCCUAAAAGUGCGUGGUACCAUCUUAUCAACAUAAAGAUUACCAUCCAAAUGAUCGCACUCAUGUUGCAGAAUCCUUGCUUGCCAACCUGAAGCAUUCACUUCAAUCCGCUUUCCUUGACGAUCGUAGCCUGUCACGACCACUUCAAGAUAUCUCUCCACCACAGCUCUGAAUCCAUCCACACUCAGACAUCCUUCAAAGAAAAGAGCUUUCUUGUUGCUGCUCCCCUUCAGCUCCGGAUUCACCAGCACCUAAUAACAACCCCCAGAAUUCAAGCUUUUUUUUUGUUUUAUAAUCUCAACAGCAACAACUCCACGCACAAAUUUUAUACUCUGUACCAUGAGAUCAAAGGGACGUCUUUCUUGAGCAAGAAUCUCUUCCUUUGGUGCGUAACUUAUAUACUCUUUUGUAUCUUCCAAAACAAUAAUCUGCAUCACCAUGAAAAAAAGGAUUCAAGCAUUCGAAUUUGACAAGGGGAGUAGAGGAAAAGCAUUAGGCUUACUUACUCUCAAGGGAAUACCAAUCUGAGGAGCAGCGAGGCCAACUCCAGGAGCCAAUCUCAUAACUUUGACCAUAUCAUCAAUUAUCUUCUGAAUACGCUCCGACUUGAUUUCCUCCGGGUCAACUUCUCGGGCCUUCUCGUGAAGAACCGGGUCUCCAGCUGCCACUAUAUCCGGUAAGUCCACUUUCUUCUUCUUGUCCCCUAGACCCAAUAGCCAACCGGCCUUCGUGGUCAAAGAGGAAGAAGAAGAAGAGGAACUAUACAGCUUACGGUUCAACAAUAGUGAGGAAUCGGGUCUUGAAACGGGGAACCGAAUCGAGCGACAUGUCACGGCGGCGGAAACCGGAAGUAGACGAAAUGAGAAUCUGAAAAGGGUUUCCAUGGCCGUCGCUUGGUCACAAGGAGUCACAUUGGUCAUUUCUUGAAAUAUGGUUCUUUGGGCCUGCUACAGCUAACGUCUGCGCUUCUUUCUGCCCAUUCUCUUUGUAGCCCAAUGGAAUUUGUCUCUUUGUUUCCAACAAAUAUUAGUAGUCUAGUAUAUGUCUAUUUUGAUAUUUGUGGUCUACUUGCUAGUUUAGUGAUUUUAUGGGACAAUUAUGAAAAUUUACAUUUUUAUAUAAUAAAUAAAAUAAAAAUGACUUAACAAACUAGUUUAAAUGUGAAGCUGACAAAAAAAAUUGAAUACUCAAAGAACUCUAAAGACUAAUUAAUUCUAAAGUCUGAAAACUAAUCAUAUAUACACCCGAAAUCUCAAACUGUAAAUUUUAAUAUUUCAAAAGUGUGCUAGUACAGAGUGUUGUCCUACUUCAAAAUAUGGUAUAUUUUCUCAACUUUGAAACAGGUAUACAUGUUAAAGUUUCUAAAGAUUUUUUUUUUUUAGUUAACCCUUAUUGAAUUUUCAUGCAUGCGUUAGUGAUGUUAUACGGAGCAAUCCACCACAGGUCCAAAACGUACCUAAAAAGAAAAACUGUAAAUACAUUAUUCAUAUUGCAAUUACAAAAAUAAUAUCCUACUCUAGUGAUCCAAAUAUCUUGUUUUAACGUGUAAGGAAUGGAUUGAAAAAAAAAUGAAUUGAUGUUAGCUAAUGGCCAAUAACACGUAACAGUUCAUAAUCAAAUCGCAAGCCUAGCAGCAGUACGUUGGCUUUGAACCAAAAUUUUAUUAUAUAUGGCAAAUGUAUGAUACAUAAUUCAACGAAUCUGCCGAAAAUUCAUUAGUUCGGUUUGGAGUUAGGUUAGAUGCAAAGUGAGUAAGUGCUAACUUAAGCCAUAUGUAAACUUCUUUGUUAUUUUAUAAUUUUCUCUUUUUAAAAAAGCGGGAAGAGAGGGUUACCGGAGCGGCGACAAUGGGAAUAGAGGGCGGUGAGUUAAUGAAGAAGCUAAUCUCCGAUGCUUAAGCCGUAAUUCUUGCCGUAUAAACAACGUUGUUAAAAAAUAGUUAGUACUUUUGGUUAAUGAAAAAUGGUCAACUUUUAUUUAGCUUUUUGGAAUAUUGCUUUCUUGCUUCUCCAAAUUACAACAAAGUCAAAUCAAUAGUUAGGCAACAUCUUUUACAUUUCGUCCAAGCAGAAUCUUAUAUUUGAUGCUGUCUUCCAAUAAUAAAACAGGACUAAUGCAUGCCAAUGUAUAUAUACUGUUCUAUUCAAUUUAAAAUGUCCGAUUUAUUUUGUGUACAUAUACCAAAUAUGUAAUUAAUCUGCUCGAUGUGGAUUGCGCUAGAAAAUAAGCUGCAGUUGUAAAAUCAAAAUAGCUAAUCUCCUUGUUGAUCAAUUUCAUAGCAUAUUUUAUUUUGCAGAAAAUACAUUUUGAAUGGAAUUAAUAAAGAUAAAUAAAGUAGAGGCGGUGAUUUGAGGAUGGUUCCUCUGCCGCUGAGUCGCGUAUAUAACUUGAGAUUCAAGAUUCGAUUUCUUUUAUUCCUUCAACAUUCAAAUAUGGUUUCCGUAGAGGAAAAAAGUAUUAUCUUUUCCUUCAAAUGUAAUUCUUUCUUAUUAAAAAAUAAAACUAUCAAAAUUCCCCUAUAAAUACUUAGGUCUCGGAUCAGCAUCCAAAAUAUCAAACAACUCGUACCCUCUCUCCAUAAUCAAAUCAGGAAACACAAACACUCAUACACAUCCACCAUGAAGAACAACAUCAAGAACAAUAUGAAGAUGAGUUCGUCACAAGAAAGUGGUCGUGGGCCUCAUGGUACUACUACUAACAUCGUAGUUACAGAUACGAUGAAUAAGAAGGUAGAGAGGAAGGCAUCGAUGGACGUGGACCAGUGCGCCGAAGCUUUCAUCACAAAUUUCAGAAAGCAGCUUCUUCUCCAGCGUCUCGAAUCCAUCGAAAAUAUGCUCUCUAGGGGCCUUUAACGCUAUUUAUCAAUACACACUUGACACUUGUAUGUAUAAUGCAUGAUUCCACGUGUAUAAUUUCUUACUUAUAUAGACACUCACUCCGAAUGUCUAAUGUCUAGCACGCAUAGUGUAUUGUUUGAGAGAAAAUAUUAGUCACUUUGAGUUGGAUGUCAAUUUUAUAGAUUUCCGUAAUGAAUGGAUAUAUAUGUCAUUUAUAUAUAUAUAUAUAUAUAUAUAUAUUUUGAAUUCGGCUGGAUAACUUGAUGAAUCUAAAAAAAGAGAAAAUGAAUUUGAGACAAACACCCUUUGUAUAGUUUUUAAUAAAAAAAAGGUAAAUUUGUGAAUAAUUUCAUACAAACUUUUAAAAAACCUUAAAACCUCUAUAUAAGCCUAACAACCUACAAUUAGGUAAAGUGAACUAUUGUAUUUUUUCUUGGAUGUACAAACUUGUUAGACCCAUUUUGAGAUUUUCGGGUCUCACACAACAAAAUAAACUAUGUUUAUUAUAUAAAUCGUGAGUUUUGAAAGAAAAUAUAGUAUUUUCAUGAUUAUAAAAUCAUAAAAAUUAUAACAAACUUUAAUUCUUUAACCACAUUAACAAAUUAUUAGAAUCUAUCAAUGUCAAUCUAGAUAAUAUUUGAUUCAGUAAUUCACCUCUCUCACAUAAUUUGGAAAUCAAAUGUUAAUCUAACUGUUUUUGAAUAUAAGUUCGUGUAAGUAUGUUUUUCAAAAUUCGGAGCCGCAUGUCUCACAGAAAAUAUGCUCAUGACCGGUUUUGCUAGCAUGUCCAUCUCAAAACUGAUCCAAUUGUAGGAUCGGUUGAUUUGAACCUAGCUACAAAUACAUAGUACGGCACAGUCGUUGUGUUACUUGAUGACUUGAUGGGAACCAACGAAAGCAAUGUACAUAUGUAAGCUUUAAUUCCCUUGAUUAUAUUAUUCAGUAAGAUGAGCGAAUGGAAUGAUCAUUUCCUCGAGGAGAAUCACAUUCACUGACCCACGAUUGGUCUCUUAUUCAUUACAACCAAAAUCAAACACAGCAAUACAUACACAGACAAACACAUGCAACAAAAACAGAGAUCGUUUACUUAAGGGUGGACCACUUGGUGGAUCUGAGUCUGUGGUUGUGGCUGCACCAUCUGGUGGAGCUUAACUCUUGAGCAGGACCGAGCCAUUCCUCCUACGAGGGGGACAACAGGGAGGCUGUCACAGUUGCAGAUCUCGAUCAUGAAGCCAUCAGGGUCGUGGAAGAAGAGCUGCUCCACUUGGAUCCCUCCUUCUUCUACUAUCGACCUCGCAUACUCUAUCUCCAAUUCCUCCAGCUUUUUCUCCACUGCUCCCAUACUCUCGCACUGCAUUACCACAAUUAAUCAGACCAAAUUUCCAAUUAAAACUUAUAUAUUCCCCCCAAAAAACAGAGCAAAAAGUAUAUAGGUCACUUUUUUUCCUUGUAAUCUCAUUCUCUCUUAACUCACACCCUACAUAAACAAUGUUUUGAGUCAUAAGACCGAUUGGUUUAUUGUCAAUAAUGGGAACAAUGAAUACUUCUACCUCACAAAAAAACUUGACCUAUAACCCCUCACGCCUUAUCCAUCUCUGUUGUCUCAUAAAUUCAGUCACAUCAAACUCUACUUUAAAACUCUACCUUUAUAGUUUAAUCAGGGAUUUAGUAGCUCAUUAUUUAACCAAUUUGGAGUUUUCACAAAAAGGUACAUAAAUUUAGAGGCAUUUUUUCUAAAGGCAACAUCUAAUUACAGAGCUUGUAUGCAUGUAAAUGAUGUUUUAGGUUUAAAAUGCACAAAUGUUAAACAAAAUAGGGGACAAACUGAGAAGAACAAAACAAUAAUAACCUGGAAAGAGAUGUGAUUAUCCUUGGUAUUAAUCGUAGUUUUCUUGGGAAGUUUCUCAGGUUCUGGGGCACAUAGGAGGUGUACUCCAAUUCCAUGUCCAAACAACCUAAACCCAAACAAAACAAAAAAAAAAAAAAAAAAACAUAUCAAAAACUCGUUUAUAAUUUUCUGUAAACCCACUUAUAUUAUAUAUUUAUAGCUAAAAUGAUAAUUAAGAUAGAGUAUAUACCAAGCGCCUUCAAAAUUUAAGGACUCAGGCCUUCGAAUAGGGAUGAACCCUAACACCUUCUGGUAAAAGUUCAUCGUUUCUUCGAUGGAUCGACACAAGAGAGAGACAUGGUUCAGUGACGUCAGACGGAGAGGGUUUCCUGCGUUUUCCUUCAUUUUUCCUGAGAAAACUCCUAAGAAAUUAAAGCCAAAAAGACACCAAAAAAGUAACGCCGCCUCCGAUCAAGAAUCCAAAUACAAUGGCGUCGACGUUGAAAUAGGCGAGAUUGAUUGAAGCUGACGAUGCAGAACGGGAACGCUAUAUAUAUUAUAUUUUAUAUAUAUAGUCGUGGGUGUAUGUAUAUAUAGAUGUGUAGAAGGAAGGUAAAUUGGAUAACUACGGAACUUAUCUGAUGAUUAGAUACACUUUGGCCAUGAUGGCGUAUUUAUAGAAGGCGUCUAAGCAAAUGGCAAAUUAUUGGGUUUUUAGUAAAAUUUAACCCUUAUGAUUAAAAAUUAGUUAAUUAUAUGGGUGGAUCAUCACAUUAACGUGGCAAAUUCGGCCUAUAACAUAAUCUUUUCUUUAUAGAUUUAAGGUUUGAUUGUUAGUACUUAACAAAAUUAAACAAUAGCAUAAAUAAACCUAAAAUUCAUUAAUGAUAUAUUGUUUAAUAGGAUAUUUGAUAUGUAAGUAAAUAAAUGCAACUUAUGAUCGAAAUUGAGUAUAAUCUCAUCCACUACGUGUAAAUAUAUAACGAUUCGGAAAUAAUAAAGAAUGUGAUGGUGAACAACUACGACUACUAUACAUGAUAAAACAACUACGACGACAAAAAUAAUUGAAAAAAAAUGACGUGAUUGGUAAAAAGGAGAGGUGAUAAUAAUAUGUGAAAUUGGGCGGUUACAUACGGAAAAUGUUGGGUUCCUGGCACUGUCAGGAUGAGUUCGACACGUAAGAAGCCAAACAAGCUGACUCGGACAAUCACAACUUCUAGUUUUUUCCUUAACCUAAACCAAAUUUCAUGUUUUAUAAGAUUAGGAUGCUAUUGGACACGUCAGCAAUUAUCAAACGUAACUCUUUUCACUUUUGUUCUUUUGUUGCACUGAUUUUGGUCAUGUGUUGCCGUGUCCAAGAUCAGUUUGGAUUGUCCCAAUUACCAAACGCUUUUGUAUGCGAUAUUUUGGUCCGGCUUCAAAAAUUCUGUAGACACGAGUAGAUAUAUUACUUUUUUUUUUCCACAACCCAAUUGUUACAUCACAUUUGGCCCGUUAAGGAAUUGGUCCGAAAACCAUCCUCAGCUGGCUCGUUAUGAAUGAUUUGGGAGAAAAUUUCGUCUCUUGCUCGAUCUCCUUUUGCAAGACUAUCUGCUCGAACAUUUGAACUUCUGAGGAUAUGUGAUAGGUUGAAAUCCAAAAAGCUUUCUAGAAGAAUACGAAGGGCUUCCAGCUCUGAUGAAAAGGAUGGCCAAUCCGAUGAAGAUUCAUACAUGCUUACUAAAUCCGAACAAUCGGUCUGAAAGUGAACGGAUAAGAUUUGUCUCUCUAUCACACAAGACAUAGCCCAUAACAGACUCUCCAAUUCGGCAUAAAGGGCUGAUAGGCUUCUGCAGCAGCCCUGUAGGCCAAAGAUCUCACCACCCCUCUCAUCCUUUAGACUCCAUCCGAGCCCACUUACCAGGCCGUUACUUAUCCAGAAAGCAUCGACCUGACACAGUGGUAACCUCUCGACAUCGGGUAGAGGACUUUGGAGCAAAGUAGUGAGUGGCGCCUCAUCUGGUUCGUCCUCUACUUCUUCUGGUUGGUUUGCAAUCUUCCAACUUUCUGCUUCAACCUUGGCGUGGAUCAGGGUAUCUACUGGGGAAAUUUCUUUCCUGUUGUAGAUCUUGUCGUUCCUCGCUUUCCAAAUAUACCACAAGAUCCAAGGAUAAAAAUCUUUUUGAGGAUCUGUCAUGCCUAGCUCUUUUGUUUUCCAAAAGAGAAAGCUCAUAUUUUGGUAAAUAGAAGUACUCGGGAAGAGACCCGGAAGGGAUAGAAAGUCCGAUAACGCCCAGACUUGUAAAGCCGGGGGACAUAAAAAUAAAAGAUGGUUAAUAGAUUCUUCAGGAUUCCCACAGCAGGGACAACUCUUAUCUAUUCACAUAUGCCUGUAGGUUAGGUUUUGGCAAGUAGCAAUACAUCCUGAUAAAGCUUGCCACAUAAAAUGCUUCAUUUUUCCAGGCGUCCGUACUUUCUAGACAUAGCUUUGAAGGGCUGUGAUACUCGGUUCUCUCACGACAUCCAAAUUCUGUUCAAGGUUUGAUUUCCUAAUCAGGUCAUAUCCGGAUUUAACCGUGUAUAUUCCUGAUUUAGUAUGGUUCCACGCAAAUCCAUCAAGGGUACGGUUCCUACUAGGUCGCAACCCAAAGGAUGAGAGAGACAUCUUCAGGUUGGAAAAAUUCUCUUAGAAGAGGCUCAUCCCAUUGCUUCGUGUCUUGCCGAAUAAAGGAGUAAACUAACACUCCUGGGUCCUGUAUUCCGAUUUGGGGGGUUGCUCUUGGUGGACGGGCCCUGGCAUCGGGGAUCCAAGGCUCACUCCACACCCUCGUAUUUAGUCCCGACCCUAUCGUCUUUCUUAGUCCCAUUUUGAGAUACGGUUUUGCGGCCAACAUACUCCUCCAUCCAUAGGAUGGUGAGUAGACAUUUCGAUCCUCUAACGGAUCUGAUUGUCGAUAAUAUCUUCUUCUUAGCACCCGAGCCAGAAGAGAUGAAGGGUACUGAAUGAGUCUCCAUAGUUGCUUCGCUAGCAAAGCUAGAUUAAAAUCAUUUAGAUCUCUAAAGCCAAGGCCUCCCAUGUCCUGUGAAAUACAAAUUUUGUCCCAGGCAAUCCAGUGGAUUCCGCUGCUAGUUUGUUUUGAACUCCACCAAAAAUUGGCAAUGGCGCUCCGAAGUUUGUCUGUAACCCCUUUAGGAAGGAGGAAACAAGACAUGACGUAAGUGGGGACGGUUUGAGCCACUGAUUUAAUCUGAAUCUCUUUUCCACCCUUGGAAAGAAGUCUUGCGGACCAAUUAUUAACACGAUUACUAAGGCGUUCAUGAACAAAAGAAAAGACCUUCUUCUUUGAUCCACAGAUUUGCUCAGGUAGGCCUAGGUACAUGGCCAUGCCGCCUUCUGUAGAAAUACCUAUGGUAUUUUUAACACUUCGUUUGAGAUCUGGGUCCACUCUAUCUCCAAACAUGAUGGAUGAUUUCCCCAGAUUAAGUUGUUGUCCCGACGCCAUUCCAUAAGUGUUUAUGAUUCGAAGAAUCUCCGCUCCUUGUUGGAUAUCCGCUUUACAGAAAAACAGGCUAUCAUCAACAAAGAAAAGGUGGGAAACUGGGGGACUUGCUUGAGCUAUUUUCAGCCCAGAGAUUCGCUCCUCUUCCUCUGCUCCCUUGAGGAGCGAGAUAAGGCCUUCUGUGCACAGAAUAAAGAGGAAGGGGGAGAGAGGGUCCCCUUACCUUAAGCCCCUCGACGGUUUGAUAUUACCUUUAGGUUCUCCAUUAAUAAGGACCUGGUAUGAAACUGAUGAGAUACAAAACAUCAGUAAACUGACCCAUCUCGAUGAAUAUCCUAACUUGAUUAGGAGAGCUUCAAUGAAACUCCAUUCAAUUCGGUCAUAUAUUUUGCUCAUAUCUGUCUUGAUAGCCAUAAAAUUUUCUCUACAAUUUGUGUUGGUUCGGAGUGCGUGAAAAUUUUCUUGCGCUAACAGAAUAUUAUCUGUAAUAAGUCGUCUAGCCAUGAAGGCCGAUUGUGUUUCUGAAAUGAUGUUUGGAAGUGUCUUUUUGAGUCGUUUGCAUAAAAGCUUGGAGAUGAUCUUGUAACUGACGUUACAAAGGCUGAUUGGGCGAAAUUCCCCCAUUGCUCUAGGUUUGUUUAUUUUUGGGAUUAGACAAAUAUUUGUCUGGUUAAGUCUAGGAUCAAAAGUUCUGGUGCUGAAAAAGUUUUUAACCAGUUUAACAAUAUCUUGGCGAAUAAAAGGCCAGAAUUUUUGGUAAAAUUUGCUUGUCAUACCAUCAGGACCAGGAGCUUUAUCCGGGUUAAUAUCGAAAAGCGCAUCUUUAAUUUCUUUCUCCGACGGAUCCUUCAAAAGUAAUUGAUUUGUAUUAUCUGAGACUUUCUCGGUAAUAAACCGGAGAGAAUUUUCUGGGUCUGAGGGGAUAGACGAGGAGAAAAGGUCUUGAAAAUAUGUAGCGGCCACUUUUUCUAUUCCUCUUGCAUUUUCCACCAAAUGUCCGUUACUAUCCUUAAGGGAGACGAUGCGGUUCCUGGCUCUCCUUUGUUUAGUAAGGGCAUGGAAGAAUUUUGUGUUCUUAUCACCGUUUUUGUGCCAUUUUUCUCGACUCUUCUGUUGCCAGAGCAUUUCUUCUUCCCUGAGAGCAGCACAAAGUUUCCUCCUGAUGUCUUCAAUCUCUUCUAGUGUUGUAUUAUCAUCAUCUUGGGCUAAGUCCAAUUGGUUUUUUAAUUCUUCGAUCAUUUUUUCCGAGUUGGUCGGAGAGAAUUUCUUCCAAAUAGAGAUGUUUUUCCGGCAUUGUGCAACCUUUUGAUGAAAACCUCGACGUGAGAUUUCAUUAAAGGGGCCCCACCCGGAAAUGACUGUCUCUUUAAAACCAGGUUUUCCGAUUCAUCUCUUAUCAAAUCGAAAUGAUUUUUUCUUCCUUAUGUUGUCAAUUUUUAUCAUAGCUAGGACUGGUCGAUGAUCUGAACCCCAAAGUUUCAUAUACUCCGCAGAAGAGUGAGAAAAUUUUGAAAGCCAUUCUUCAUUUCCAAGAACUCUGUCUAGACGGCAUUUGACUUUGCCAGACCGUCUUCUUCCAACCCAGGAAAAUGAAUUUCCUUUGUAUGGGAAGUCCAGCAUUCCACAGUUAUCAAGCAUAGUCCGAAAAGGAAUAAAUGAGUAUUCUGGUCUUCUCCGACCUCCUCGUUUCUCAUGAUUGCCGGUAAUCUCAUUAAAAUCUCCUAUCAUAAGCCAGGCUUCUUUUCUGGUAGUACUCAUCCUUGUUAGACGUUCCCAAACAUUUUCUCGAUUUUUUAUAACUGGAUCACCAUAGACGAAAGUCAUAAAAAUUUUAUGUCCGUUUAGGCUUGAUUCAACAUCAAUCAAAUGCUCAUCAGAAUAGAGAAUAGAGACCGUAGGUUCAUCCAUAUAAAACAGGGCUAAACCGCCGCUUCGACCUCUAGGUUCAACAGUGAAAACAUGAUCAUAUCCAAAAUGAACUUGCAUGUCUUGCAGAAGAUAACGAUUAUUUUUGGUCUCCGACAAAAAUAGAAACCUCGGUUGAAAACAUUUGUAAAGUUCUUCUAAAUGAUCUUUUGGCAGAUCCGAACCAGCUCCUUGACAAUUCCACCCGAUGACGUUCAUUACGGUCAGUAGUUUCUGAUUUUUAAUUUACUUGGUUUUAAUCCAAAGUAGACUUGGACAAUCAAUUUUUAAAAUUUAUGUGUGUUUUAGCCAAAAACACUCUUUAAACUUUUAUCAGUUACAAUAUUUCUUGGGCUUAACCCAGAAUUGAAUGAGAUCCACUAAUUUAAUGAUCCAAAAUCAGUUGGAACUAAGUCAAAAUUAUUAUUAUUAUUUUUAUUUUUAUUUUUUUCUCUUUUUCCUUGCCAGCUGCAAGAUCGGCGAGCUAAGAUCGAGGACCAAAACGUCGGAGGAAGACAAAGAUCGCUGUCCGGAGAGCUUCAGACGGUCAGAAUUAAAUUAUGUCUAGUAAUUUGGUGGCUCACAAAUUUGCUGGCCCAAAACAAAAUACGAAAUUAGGCAUUUUUUUUUUUUUUGCCGUCGAUGAAAUAGUCUUCGCCGCCACAAACAACUGAUCUGAAAAUUGGUGAAUUUUGGAGAUCCGGACUUUUUUAGAGUAGAUAUAUUACUUUAGGCGGAACUACUUGAUAUUUUUUUCCUUGAACCCAAAAAAAACAUAAAUAUAUUAUUUCCGUACAUACAUCAGUAUUAUAUUUUCUGGGUGGACAAUAUAUAUUUUGGGGUGUCAAAAUGAUGUUUUGUUAUAUGUUUUAAAAGGUAAAUUUUACACAAAAGUUAGAAAAGAAACUUUUGAAUUUGUUUUUUGUUUGUCAUCUAUAACUUACACAAGCAGAUUAUCAUUAUCGUAUUUGCAUUUAUUAUAUGAUAAAGUUUAGAGAUAAUUGGCUAAAAGGGUAGUUUUAAGUUUUUAAUUUGCCAAAAAGGUAUGUUUUGAAAAAGUGGAUAUGUUUGGGUAGUUUUUAUGUGUUAAUAUCUAUAUUAUCCUCCUAAAUUCAGUUUAUUUACAUUUCUAUGCUAUUAUAAUAAAUUAAGUAUUAAAUAAAAUAAAGGAAGAAAGAGAAAACAAAAGGAGGAAAAGAAGAAAAAAGAGAUUGUGUGAGAGAAAAAAAAAUAGAUCUUAAUUAAAAAAUAUUAUUUUCUUUUUCUUCUUUUUUAUUUUUUCUUUCUCUUUUAAUUCAUUCACUCUUAUAUAUUAUUUACAAUAAUAAAAUAUAUAAUAAUAUAUAUUUAAAAAAUUCAUAGAUUUUUUUCUACAUCUUUUGAAAUUAGAAAAACUUGAAUGGUGGAUAGGAUAGGAUAGUGUUAAACAAAAAAAAAUCUUGACAUAAAACUCCUAAAAAGUAGAUUUUAGGAUUUAAAAAAUUUAUAAAUUUUUUUCUACACAUUUUGAAAUUAGAAAAACUUGAAUGGUGGAUAGGAUAGGAUAGGAUAGUGUUAAACAAAAAAAAUCUUGACAUAAAACUCCUAAAAUGUAGAUUUUAGGCCUUGAUUGUUUGCAGUUUUUUUAACAGAUUUUAGUUUUCGUUUUUCAAAAAACCAUUUUAUUAACCAGUCAAGUUUUUGAAAAAAAUGAAUUUCUUAAAUUAUAGGAAAACUAGUUUUUCAGAUUUUUUUUUCUAAACAAAAACCAAAAACCAUCCUAUAUGGAUUUUUCAAAGAAAUUUCGUAAGUUUUUGUUAUUUACUUGUUUAAAUACUGCUAUUUUUUCAAUAAGUAAUUAUGAGAAAAAACUAUAUUUCUAAAAUAAAAAAUGUAUAAUCAAAACAAAAUCUCAUUUCUAAAAUAACCUCAUUUUACUUAUGUACAUUUUUAUAUAUAACUUUUACUCUAGAAAAGAUCUAUAACUUUUACUCAUUUUACUUAUUUAUUAUAAUUUUUCAGUUAAUUUUCUUAGAAAAAAUAUAUGAUUUGAAACUUCAAUUUUAUUUAUUUAAUUUUGUAAAUUUUAAACACAUAAAAUUAAAUUAAAAUUAAAAAACAUAGAAACGUUAAAAAACAAUUAUUGAUAAGAAAAUCAGAAACUAAACAAAUCACACCAUUUAAGAUUUUAGAAAACAAAAAUCUACAGAAAAAUCAAAAACCAAAAUUUUAAAAACCAAAAUUCAAAAUCAAUAAUCAAAAGUUAAAAAUCAGAAACCAAAAACUAAAACCCAUGCAAACAUUCAUGGGCCAUAAUUUUUUGUUUAAAAAUUGGAAUUUAUUUUAAAAACUAGUUUUCUUAAAAAAUAAAAAUCAAUUUUGUCAAAAUCAUGAUUGGAUAAAAAAAUGAUUUUUUGAAAAACAAAAAUCAAAAUCUAUUCUAUAAACUGCAAACAUUCAAGACAUUCAAGACAGUAUACUUCAGUUAUAUACAUUAGACAUGGUAUUCAAUUGAAUGUAUUCAGUCGUACACUGAAUUGUGAAUACUUAAUAAUUGUACACUGAAUUGUGAAUACUUAAUAGUUGUACACCAAAUAAAUGGUGAAUACCAUUGAGUGAAUAUCUUCAGGUGUACACCAAAUGGUGAAUACCUUUAUUGUGUACAUCAAAUAAAUGAAUAUCAAAUCAUGAAUACUGGUGAAUACCUUUAUGUGUACACUGGUGUACACCUUUAUGUGUAUACUGAUGUACACCAAAUGGUGAAUACUUUUACAUGUACACCAAAUGGUGAAUACUUUUACAUGUACACCAAUCGGUGAAUACUUUUACGUGUACACCAAAUGAAUGAACAACAAAUCAUAAAUAUCUAGGGAUGAAUACUUUCAGAUGAAUACCGUUAAAUGAAUACUUGAUAGUUGUACAUCAAAUGAUGAAUACUUUCAAAUUUUUAUGUAUAUUGCAAAAAAAUCAAAUAUUGUCUGUUUUAAAAAAUUCAAAUUUUUGUAUGUGUUAAAAUUUUUUUUUAUAUUUCUAAUAUAUAUAUAUAUAUUAUUAAAUGUUUUAUUAUUAUGAAUAAUUUACAAUAAUUGAUUCAAGGGAAAAAAUAAAAAGAGGAAAAAGAAAAUAAUAAUAUUUAAAUACACUAUUUUUUUUCAUCUCUCACACUCUUUCACGCUCUCUUCCACUAUCUCCCUACUCUAUUUUACUCUCUUUCAUUUUCCCUCACGUUCUCCUAUGCUCUCUUCCUCCUAAUAAGGGUUCAUUUGCCAUUUAAAAAUGUUAUUGUUCAAAAACUACCAAAAACAUGAACCAAAAUACACACCCUUUUGACCAAUUAAAAACUUAAAACUACCUUAUUUGCUAAGAAGCUCUAAAGUUUAUCACAAACAAAUAGAGGCUUCUUGCCUUGUAAAAAAUAUUGGUUUUAUAAUAUUUCAUAUUAGAUUGAUUGUUUUUGGUAACAGAGAGACUACUGUAGUUGUCAAUAAAUAAAAACAUUCGGAAAAAAAUAACGGACAUGCCAGUUAACUAUACGAGUGGAGAGAGAUGAAUAACAUGUAUUCCAACUGUAUAAAAAAGAGAAAUACUUUUAAAUAAUAGAUUUUUGUUUUCAAAUCUUGCAUUUAAAUUCAAAAUUCCAAAAUAGCACAAAUAAUUAUACAAAAAUACUUGUUUACUCAAAAUAAAUUACAAAUAAAAAUAAAAAUAUUAUGUUUAGGUUCAUUAUUUCUCAUUUAGGGUUUAGUUUUUUCACAGUAAAAAAAAAAUUUGAGACAUUUUACUAUUAAAAUUGUGUUACUAUUGUCAAUUUUAACUAGUGAUGCUAAGUUUAGAACAAACUUUUUAAAGUGUGUUAUUUUGGACAAUUACCCAAAAAAGGCCGGCUGAGUUUCUUGGAUUUUAGCCGGAUCGUUACGUUUUACCUAAUUUUCCUUGAUUUUAUAAUUUUACUUUACAGUUUCAUGCUCCAUAAUUCGAGAUUUGUUCUGAAAUUGAGAAGCGAAAAACAAUUUGUACGUUUUUUACGCUGAAAUAGCUUUAAAGUAUGAUUAAUAUAUUUUUCAGUGAGUGUAGAUUUGUCACUUACUUCAAAAAGCACCCACAAUAGACACUUUUUAAAGUUAACUUAUACUGCUACUUGGCAUCUAUCCAGCCUUUUCUCUUGUCGAAGGGCCGAUAAAAUCUAACCUGGAAUCCAAGUCAAGAUUAAUAAGUCUUUUUAUAACUAGUUUCUUUGAUUUAAAUAGUUUUGCUCAACUGCAUAGUCGAAGCAGCUAGUGCGUACCGCAUUCAUAAUUAAAAUACAUGUUUAACAAGCAAAUGGUAGGCCGAUUAAUGAAGUGGCUCAACAUUUUUUGUCCUUCUGUGUAAUGGAAGUACAAAAACAAAAUCUAAUAACUUCAAACUCGAAAUCGCCAAGACACGUUGCUUCCUUUUAUUGUAUGGUUAAAGGAAGUUCAAUUUUUCUUUUUCUUCUUCUUUACCAACAAGCAACUAACGUGUGAGAUUGAAACAGAUUGAUAUAUUCUCUUCUUUUUUCACGGUACCAGGAAAGAGUGUGGACUGUUGCUGUGUUGCCUGUGAAGAACACAAACCGUUUCUAUAUGUAAAUGUUUUUGGUUUGCCCGGAAGAAGAGGGAAAUAUCAUGAGCUGAUUGAUUGAUCGAAGCGCAUGCAGUUUGGCUGAUCCAUAUAGCUUCUCCAGCACAUGACGUCGAGUGGUCAUAACUUUGCGUUUACCAACUUAGAUUACAACUAAAAUAGACCAUGUAUCAAUUCCUGGAGGCUUUUAGAUGGAAAGCUGACAAUCAAAACAACUGUAUUAAGAUAAAGAGAUAGCACAGUGGAUCUUGGUUUCAGAACAUGUCUAUGCUACUACCUCUUUAUCUUAAUAUAGUUGUUUUGAUUGUCAGCUUUCCAUCUAAAAGCCUCUCGGAAAUGGAAACCUUCACGCAUAGCAUGCGGAAGAGUCCUCUGAUGAAACCUUCAAGCACACCUAACUUGUGGAAGAGUGCUCUGAUGCUCAAGCAUUUCCUCCAUAUAAUCAACCCAAUAAUUUAUAUGCUACUUUUCCAUUAUCGAACCUAAAGGUAAUUCACAUGCGAGAGUAAUCAAAACCAGAUUAUUGGAGGAAUUUUUUUUGACAAACAGUUAGAACCAGCUACUUAAGUAGAAUCCUCAAGUUAAAUUGAACAAUCAGUAACAAUCACCACACCAAACUGCUUCAGUCCAAUGGAACAAUAGCAGUAGAUGAUACUUGAAUAUAUGAUAGAGAGAAAUGAUUCAACAAACAACAUAUUCCCUGGGGAGUGAGAAAUGUAGUAUAAAGACUAGAAGAAGAAUGUGUGGUUUGGUUGGACCAAAUCAAAACUCAGAAGGAGGUUUCAAUCUAAUGAGCCGCUUGAUCCUGUCUUUGUCGGUAUUCUCCAGAAGUCCGUUCCAAACGAUUUCAUCAAGACACAAACAAAUCCUUCCAUAUUUAUCCAAAAACACUCGCUCUGUUGGAGGUUUUCCGCAUAUGUCUUUCACAGCCCCUGUUAUGAUAAAGAUGGCUUCUGCCACUGCGCCACAAAGAGAAAGAAAAACAACACAGAUUCAAACACUGAAUGAAUCACAGAUCAGCUGAUUUGCACAGAGGGGAAACAAAAAAGGCUUACAAGCAAGUUCAUCGUACUCGUCUUUGCCAACAAGGAAGAUGCUAACAUCCCCUAACAUUGUGUACACGAUAUAAACCGACCUGCACAAACAAACCCUCUGUUACUUCCAUAGCCAAAUGCUGUUAAGUUCUAUUUAAGUGAUUUGCUCCAAAAUGCCACAAGGAAACUAGAGGAAGUUCGAUGUACUUGUGGCAAGCGACGAGGAGCUCCUCGUUUUUAACACCUUUGAGAUUCUCUGCUCCCAACUUUACCAAGAAAGAUCGCCAGGUCAGCCGUUCCUCAGCUGGCACUCCAUUGAACCUGCCAGAUUCAAAGCUUCUGAUGAGUUGUUACUAAAACUCACAUGAUGUAUCGGUGAUCACACACGAUAUCCACUUCAUCUACAGAGAUUUACAAUGCGAUAACUUAAAUGCCGAUAAGAGAACACAAUCACAUACUAAUGGCAUCAAGAAUUGGGUGGUUGGGACAAAGACAAUCUAUUAUCCAUCACCCUCUUCUCUCUAGGAUUCCUAUCAGAGAUCAAAUGUUUGGGAUAUCUCCAAUUCUAGUGUGUACAGAGGGAAAGAGAAAUCUAAUUUCUGUUAAAGCUUCCAGCUUUCUCGCUCAAUCUGGGAUGAAAAGUCAGAGACACACAAUUUCAACAACUUCAUAACUGUGGUCGACAAUAAAGGGUCCAGAUCCAUAAACAAGAUCAAGAGCUACGGCAAUGCUCGAUUUUUUAUCUUUAGAGAAUCAAACGAAACAAGCCAAUAAGUUUGCGAUCAAAUGACUAGGAGCAGAAGAUACUAAUACAAGUUGCGAAAUCGACGAUAAUAUUGGGGGAAAAGAGAAGAUGGGAUCUGGGUGCGAAACCUUUCGAUCAAUACGUUCCCUACGGAAUUGGCGAACAACACUGCUAGGAUCAUGAUCUUCCUCUGCAAAAUUAUUUCUUUCUGCGAUUCCUUUUAGCCUUUCUUCGCCUUUUUAGUUUUUAUUGCUUCUUGACUUCAGAUUCGCUUCUCUUUUACUUUUUUUUGUUUUUGUUUUUUUAACUACCGUAAUUACCUAGCAAAAUCGAGUAAUAUCGAAUUCGACAAGGGGCCUAUACGUAAUUUCAGUUGCACGAAUAUUUGAUCCAUUUUUCUGUUUUCAGUAACAAGUUUUUUUUUUUUUUAAGGUUCUUCAUUAAUAAAAUUGUAGAAAGUUUAUUUAUUUUUAUUUUUUUUCAGUGAAAACUUUUCACAAAUCUAUUCAUGGAUUCACUUUUCACUAACCUAUUCAUGGAUUCACUGAUGUCAAAAAAGAAAAAAAAAACUUAUUGACAAAGUCUCCUCCAGCCUUUAUUACUUGUUAAGCCCGAUUAAUUCUUGUGAACUGAACUAACCACUCUAUCAUAUGAGUAUAUUCAUCUUUUCUAGUUAAUUUGAUUUCUUUUUUUACUAAUUAAGAUGUUAUAUAUAUCCUAAGUAAAAAUAUUAAGUGGAUGUAGAUACACUUGAUAGUUAAGUUAGAUGGGGAAGAGAAGAUGUUGAUAGUUUAAAAAAUGGAAGGUCAACAUCAAUGGAGAGUUUAAGGAAAUGUGUCAAUGUUCCAAAUCUAUCAAGAGAAAGUAGAGACCACAUUUUUCUUUCUUGUUACCUCCAUUAUUUCAUUUUCUCCCUCUAUUACGCUACUUAUAUGUUAUAGCCAAUUUCUUCGUAGCUUCGUAGAUAUAUUUAAUUAAACUCACCUUAAGAAAUUUAAAAAAUAAAAAUAAAAAAUCAAACUGGUGAGCUUGGGAAUAGAAGAAAUGAAAGAAAGAAAAGUUUAACCAUAGAGUAUGAACGGUCAAGUGGAAGUUAAAGUGAAAAGAGGACAAGUCAUAAUGAUGAGCACAAACAAGUACCAACAAGCUUCUGUGGAAGUGAAAGUUGAAGCUCUGGUUUAACCUAAUUCGUUUUGCCUUUCGCCUUCUAUUGUACUUUUUGAAAGUUAAAGAAUCCUAACUUUAUUUAUCAAAAAAAAAAAUCCUAGCUUUAUCAAUUCUUCGUUACUAAUGCUUAACAUUUUUUUUUGUAUGCGUGAAGUUAAUUGAUGUAUUAGUUAAAACAAUAAUCUCGUCGCCAUUUUGUAUAAAAGAUCUUUGUUAUCACGUUUGUGUUAUAACACUUUUGGAAAUUUAUCACGUCUCUAGCUUUUUUGUUGAAGAUUUAUAUGGUCACUACACUACUAAGUUUGGAUAUGACGAAUCGUACAAAUUUUGGUGGAGAAAAAACAAAUAACAAUCGUUGAUUUGGAAGGUUUAAGGAUUCAAUCAUAUAAUCUUUGAUUCAAAACGUCACAAUUAGACGUUGAUAUUUUCUAUAUAUAACAAAAAGGAAAGAAUAAUACAUGCUGAUGUUGGCGCAUGAUUUAUGAUUUAUUUACAAAUAUGAAACACACAAAUGAAAGUUACGUACGUCUCUUAUCAAUCAAAAUCCAUUGUUUUCAUUAAUGCACCUUCCUCUCUCGGUUAGACAAUGAACGUUUUAUAAUUUGUAGAAACUAGAGUAGUCGAAUUUUCUUUGUGUAAGCAUCUUUUCUUCAACUCGUGAAUCUCAUAAUAUAUUGAUCUUCUCUAUAUAUAAUAUAUGUAUUAUUAUAGAUAAAAAAGUUACAAUUACUCAUGUUGAAUUCAUAAUUCAUUCCAUGGUCUGUUGAUCUGAAAUUACUCGUAUUAUUCUAAGCGCAACUAUGUUUAUACAAUUAUACCCCAUAAUAAAGAUUCAACGCCGGUAAUGUGAACUCUAGGCUAUAUAUGUAUAUGGAAAAAAGAAACAAAAACAAAUCAUUUUAUAUUAAAUUUAAUUGCUAUAUUAGUUAAGCUAAAUUUAACAAUUAUCUUCAUUCAACAUCAUCAGAUGCGGAAAAAUACAAGAUUCUGUUGCGGUGGAUUCCUGGAAAUUUAUUAUUAUCAUUAAUGUAAAGUCUCUCUUAUCACGCGUGCAAAAUUAAUUUAAAUAAUCCCACUAAAAGGAACAAUUAGAAAAACUGAAUGCAUGUGCUUUGUGGGGAUACAAAACAUAUUACAGACCUAAUUUCAUCAACUAUUUAAUUUCCCUGUAUCAUUAUUUAUCAGGCCCUUGAAAUAAUGACGGGAUAUAAACUCAUUAGUCAACCCUAUAUAAAAUUAGUUCACAUACAAAUUUGAUUAGCUAGAAAGGGUACUGUCUGUUUUAGUCAGGAGACAUACAAAUUUGCUAUAAAUUCAUGUACUCUUAACUUAUCAUGUACUAUGCAACAUUAUUUUAUUUUAGUGAAUGCAAUUAUAAGACUAACAGAAGACACAAAAAGAAAAGGGUCAUUUCUAGAUUGUAGUUACGAACAGUAAUACUUUAUUGGAUACAAAUGAGGAAACAUGGAACCAUAUAUAACCAACACAUUUAAAUAUAACAGUAUUAACAACAUAUAAAAUAUACGGUAUAAUUGAUAAUUAUGGCUAUAAAUCACCAGUGGAAAUAAGUAUAUAUAUUAUAUAUAAGCAAAUGAUAUUUAGUUUGUAUUGAGAAGCUCCUCUAUCAUUUGCAAAGCAACCUUCUCUUCCUCGUCCAUUAAUCCUUCUUCUCCGGCAGCGCCGCCAACCUCAGUGGCCGGAGCAACAUCGCCUUGUGAAGCUUUACUAGUAGCCUCUUGCAGGGAGGAGCCCGCAGGACCGAGUUCCACAGUCAUGACCCAGCUGGAAUCAGACUUGGAACCGGCGCGUUUCUGCCAGACGCCGAUGUGGGAGCUGGCCGUAUCAAGGCGGAGACAGGUGAGUGAAGGAGAAGGAGACUUGCAGCAUUUCCUCAGUUUGGCGCUGAGGAUAGCAGAGAGUGAUGAUGAGGAGGACGAGAUGUCUGUUUUGCCCUCAGAUGUGUCUCCGGUAUUGUUGUUGUUGUUGAGGGGAAAGUUGGUCUUGGCGUUGCGACCGCUCAUUAAAACGGCCGCCUCGUCGUAGGCUCUUGCUGCCUCCUCCGCAGUCUCAAACGUCCCCAGCCAAAUCCUCCGUUUCCUUUUUGUUUUUCAAUUAAAUUAUCAUGCAUGUCGUUAUAGAAUAUAUAUUUAUAGUCCGAAUAAGCAUUACUUUAUUCAAAACUAAGGACCUAAAACGAAAUCUAUAGAGAUGUUAAAAAGAGUUUCAUGUGUUAGCUAUACGGAUAGGAAAGCAACUAUAGAAUAUGAACUAGAAAAUGAGGAAACGAUCAUGUAUAUAUAUGUAUGUGUGUGAGUGUGUUGUGUACUAAAUGUAUCAGAAUAGCUAGGGAAAUAAAUAAAUAACGCAGAAAAAAAGGAAAGAAAGAAGAAAGGUACAAGAGAGGAUGACGAAUCUCAGCGACCCAAGAACCCCAAUGGCGUUGCCUGACACCUCUGAACUUCUUCGUCUGUACCAUUCUUACUUACUCUGUGUUUUUUGUCAGAGAGAAAAUAGGAAUUCUUGAUGAUGAGUAAUAUAUGUAUGAUGGAUGUUUGGUAAAUGGUAAUGUUGUAUAUUUAUAUAUAUAGGUUAAAUUUUGGUGGAUGAAAAGGGUUGUACUUGUUCCUACUCUUAUUACAUUUGACGUCCUCGCUAUUCUAUGUCUGUGUGUGUGUGUGUGUGAGAGAGAGAGAUAAAAUUUAGUUGGAGUUGUUUGGUAUAGAGUGAUUGCUAAUGUUAAGGGAUGGUUAUAAUGGUAAAAACCAGUUAAAUUUUUCGAAGGUUGGAUCGUAUAUAUGUAGAAAAGGCACAAGUGGUACAAGUGUCACAUGGCCGUGUACAUUGUUUAUAGCAUACCUACGUACAUCCUAAUCAAUCGUCCACAUCAUAUAGCUACGUACGUACUACGCCUCUCUCUCUGUUUAAUUUGAUGCUUGCUUAUAUUUGUAAACAACUUCGUACGUACGUAUAAGCCUUUUGUGUUCACCAUUAAUUGCAUAAGUUUUAAUAUACUAUGAUUAAGGCGGAUUGAGAAUUAAGGCCCAACAUCAUUCCAUAUUAUAAAGUCUCAUUUAUACUAGUAUGUUGGUUAACAACCAACACUAAGCAUCGUUCACAAAUCACAAUCAGCAUUAUCAAUUCCGAUCCUAUGUACAUAUGAACUCUCCUCACACUUUUAGUAAUUUUACUAAUAGAUCUAGCUACAAUAAAGCCUUAGUUGGGUUGAGUAAACAGACAGUAUAAUUUAAUGGGAUUAAUCAAUGGUAAAAAGAUUGCCACAUUAAGCAAACACGUAAUAAGCGCUGAGAAAAGUGGUUGUUCACUCGCGAUCAUAUAUAAACACAUGCGAUAUACAUCACAAAUAUACAUAGAAUGACGAAGUUUUAUAUAAAUAUAAUAUGUUAGACAACACAAGUUAAAAUGUAAAGAAAGGACAAAAAAUAAAGAAAGGGUGGUCCAUAUGUAUAUGUGUAAUUAGUAGAAGGUUUUGUCAACAUAUUUAGUUGGAUAGAGUACCCACUGCCUAAGCCCUAACUGUUGGGUUGGGUCCAAAUUAAGGCUGUUUAGGUGUCAAUCUCAAAUAUAUCUCGUUUAAUAUUUGAGCAAACAUAUUUAACCUAAUGUAUGCUUAUAUUUAAUAUGAUAAUAUGGAAUAUACUUUUUUGUUUCUUUGGUGCUAUUUGCUGAUGGCUGGUUAUCGCAGGGUCCACACAUCCAUGAGUCCGUCACUCAAUAUUUCAUCAUUAUAGUACUUCAUUAAUCCUCGUUUUUGGAUCUUGCAUGUGACAUAUAUAUAAUUUUUUUUUGGGUGAAGAUCUUGCAUGUGAUUUCUUUUCCAUCUAUGCCUUUUAAAUUUUAAUAUACUUUAUUGUUUUAGUUAGUUAUUUUUGCAGUCGAUUACUGUAGCUACUUACAGAGUGAUGAUACUCAAUAGUCAAUACUCACAGUCAUGACUCAUGCCUUAUGAUAAUUUGGAUUUGGUAGUAAAAUUUUGAAUCCGUCAGUUGAUUAAUUUCUCGGAGGUAUGGCUAUGAGCCCGCUUCGUCGCUAUAUACACUUAUAUAUAUGUGCAUCAGUGCAUAAUUAAUUAUUGUUAUUUUUGACGGGAUAUAAUGAUAUUUUGUUUUUGUUUAGAACAAAUUUUGAACACUAGCUAAUAUAUCAUAUAUAUUAUAAGCAAAAUAAAAUUUUGAGUUAAAGCUCUCUCAUUCAUUCUUAGGGUGGUUAAUUACCUUUUAUUAUUCCUUAUAUUUUCUAAAAUUAAAUUUAAUAAAAAAUUAUUAAAAAAAUCAUAAAUUAAUUAAAAAAUUAUUAAAAAUCAUAUAUACUAUAAGCAAACUAAAAUUUUGAGUUAAAGCUCUCUCAUUCAUUCUUAGGGUGACUAAUUACCUUUUACCCUCCUUAUAUUUUUUAAAAUUAAAUUUAAUAAAAAAUUAUUAAAAAUCGUAAAUUAAAUAAAAUAUUAAAAAUCGUAAAUAAUAAAGAAGAUGUUAAAGAAUAAUUUAAUAAAAAAACAUUUAAAUUUCAUAAAAGAUAUUCAAAAUCGAAAUUUAAUCAAAAAAUAUUUAAAAUAGAAAAUAACGAAAAUUUAAAAAUUGGAAUUUAAUUAAAAAAACAUUUAAAAUCAUAUCAUAUAUGAGAUAUGCGAAGUAAAUUUUUUGCUAUAAGGUCUUUCAUUCAAUCUAGGUAACUAAUUCCCCUUUAUUCGUUAAUAAUUUGUUUUAACAUAUCCUUAAUUAAUUUAUUUAUUUUUGUAGUUUGUAUAACAAUUUUGCUGCCACUUUUAGUUAUUUUUAUAAUAUUAAGAUAAUUUCAAUCGGAUUAUCUGUUGAGCAAGAUUAUCUGAAAAAAAAUAUACAUGUGAUGUGGGAAAUCUUAGCUUAAGUUGAGAGCUAUAUAUAAAUAUAUUACUUUUUUAAAUGUAUCUUAAGCUCAAUUGUGGUUUGGUUUCUACAUUGGUCGGCUUUUCGUUGUAUUGUUUACCAUCUUUUUUUUUAUAAAUCAAUUUUUCGAUUUUUUCUAUUGUUUUUCCGUUUCAGUACCAGUAGUANNNNNNNNNNNNNNNNNNNNNNNNNNNNNNNNNNNNNNNNNNNNNNNNNNNNNNNNNNNNNNNNNNNNNNNNNNNNNNNNNNNNNNNNNNNNNNNNNNNNCGGGCACACAAGGGGGUUUGCGGGAUGGCAAAAGAUAAAUUGAAACAUAUAAAAGAACAUAGAGUUAACGAAAACGUAAAAAAAUAAGGAAAAAAUGAACAAAAAGUCCUAGACCAUGAACGAUAAGAUCAAGAUGGGUAACACAAAAUAGUGAAGAAGAAAAAUGAUAAGGAGAUGAAGAACUCAAAGUUGAAGAAGAAAACUGAAAGAAAAAGAAGAACAAAAAUGGUAGAUGAAGAAAAUAAAGUAUAAGAAGAUGAAAAUCCGACAAUGAAAAAGAAAAUAAAAAGAAGAAAGUAAAGAUGCGAAAAAAACAAACAAAAAUUAGAAAGAAAAAAUGUUUGGAUAGGACAAAAAUGAUCAAGAAGAAGUAAAAAGCAGAAGAUAAAAACGGCUAAUAAACCCAAAAGAAGAAUAGUAUAAGAUGUUGAAGAAUAAAAAUUUAGAGAAUACAAAGACAAUAAAAUAAAGCAAAGAAAAAGGGGCAGACAAAUAAAACAAAAAAAAAUCAACAGAAAAAACGAAGAAAAAACCGAAUGAAAAAAAAUCAAGAAGUCAAAGAAGAUGAAUAAAAUACAUAUGAAGAAAUAGUCAAAAACAAUGAAAGAUAAAAAGGAAAAAAUAAAGAAUAGAAAAACUAAAAAAUAAAGAAUAAGAAAACAACGAUAAUAUGAACAAAAAAUAAUGCAGUGAACAAGUAAGAUAAAAAAAUAGUCGGAUAGGUCGAUGACGAUGAACAAAAAAAAUUAAAUGACCAAUUGGAAAAGAAAAAAGAUAAUCAGAAGAAGAAGUCAUAAAAGAAAACCAGUAGAUAGUAGAGGAAGUGAAAGAAAAAAUAAUGGAAGAAAAUGGAAGAUGAAGAAGACAAAGUUGAAAAAAGUAAAUAUGAUGAAAAAACGAAGACAAAUCAGAUGAAUAAGAAGUAAAAAAAAUGAAGACAAUAAAGAAGAACAAUUUGAAAACAAAUAACGAUAAAAAAAGAACUCAAAUAUAUAAAGAAAAAAACUAAAAAAAGGAAAAUAUAAACCAUGAGAGGAGUAAAAAGACAGAUAAGACAAAGAUCUUUAAAAUAUGAUGAAGAAUUUGGAGAGAGGAAGAAUAAUUGGAAGAAGAGGAAUAAGAAUCUGUUGAAGGAGAAAAUAAGAAGAAGAAGAUAAGAAAGAGAAAAAAUUGGAUGAAAACCUUAAAAGAUGAGGAAUUGGAGAAAGUAGAAGAAUAUGAAGAUGAGGAAAAAGCCGAAAAACACCAGAAGAAUAAGAAGUCGGUGAUAACGAAGAAGACGAUGAUAAUGAAAAAGGAAAAUAAAAAAAGAAGAAGAAAUAGAAUAAUAAAACAUUGAAGAAGAAGAAAAAAGUGAAUAAAACCUGGAAGAGAAAAAAAUCAAAAGAUGUAUGAGAGGAAAAAAGAAAAGAUGUGGAGAAGAAGAAGACGUGAAAAAGAAAAACCAGCAGAAUAAAAAGUAAAAAAAAAAGACAUAGAAAAUAAAGAAGAAAAAAAACAAAAAAAACAAAAAAAGAAAGAAAGAAGAAAAUGAUAGAGAAAAAAAAAUUAAAAGAUAAAAAGAGAAAAAGAUGAAUAAUUUAUAUUAAUCUUAUUUUAAUUUGUGUUUAUUGAUUUCAUACACUUAUUAGUAUUGAUUUUAAAGUUUUUAAUGUUAGACAAUGAUUACUUUUAUAGGUUAGCUUUAUUUUAAUUUUGUAUGUAUCAAAUUCUUGAUCUAAUUAUUUUUGAUUUAUGACAUAAAAUUUUAUUUUAAGUUUUAAUGAAACUUUUCGGCCUGAACACCUAGUAUCUUUUGAGACACGAAAACCACGUGAUUGAAUCUCCGAAACGUCCAAAGAAUGAGAGAAAUGUUAUACAAGAGGCCAAGAGUGUUUCAACCAAACGGCCAAAGUACCAAACGCUCCCGUUGGAGAAAAGAUUUCCUCCUAGCUGCGAAUUUUACGGGUUUAUGAAAUAAUGGUUUUUUUCCGUUAAAAUAAAAUAAAAACACGUGGAUUUAAAUUAACAUGGGCCUAACUUGGGCCACAUUGAAGCCCACAAAGCUAUAUUAAACCAGAAUGCGGGUUCACAGCAAUGGCGGGAAGGGUCAACCCCGAAAUAGGAGUGGUCUUGGGUCAACCACAUGACUUUGAAAAACCACCAAAAUGCCACCUUAAGUUAAUUUACACCCAUAAACUGUUUCCGUUUCUUGUAUUCAACCGAACAACGGUCAAUCUUUACUUUUCCAGGUCAUCGAUUUACUAAAUUCAGGCGCUUUGGUUUUUUGUGCUAUCUUUCCUUCACUUACAAUUUUCUCCAUAAAUUCUUUUGUUUUCUCUUUAAUCGUUCUCUGCAAUCGAAUUGACAAUGACAUAUUCCGAUCAUCACCCAUAGAUCGAACUCAGAGACCCGAAGAGUUAGUGUUUCAGUUUGCUCCACCUUACCCUCUUCACAUUAACUAAAGGUAAGAUACUAAGAUGAUGGUGAGUUUUAUACUUAGCGUUACGUUUAGUAAUUUCGAUGAUUUCUUGCGAUUUUGAUUAGUCCUUCUAAAAUCUAUCUUUACAGUUAUCGUUACAGAGGCUCUCUGCUCGGAUGUAAAAGACCUGACAUUGCUUGCGUUGACGACCACAAUGAUUCAGCUUUCACCCAAGUAGAGGCAGAUUCUGUGGACACUUGUUUGUAUUGACAACAAUGACUCAGAUUUCACCCAAGUAGAGGUAGAUUUUGUGGACAUCUUUUUGUAAACACCAUCCGGUUCAUAUCUCUUACACACAUCAUAUUCAAAAAGGAAAAUGAACUGCAUUCAUAUUCAUCUCACUCAUGUAAUUAAAUUAGUUGAAAGGAUGAAUCCAUGAAACAAGCAGUAACUGCAGCUACCAUUUGGGGAAUUUUGUUGUAAUAAUUUGUAAAAGGCUAACAAACGAAAAAAUAGGAAUUGAGAAGAGCAUGAGUGGUCAAAGGAGACAUCUAGAUUCGUCCAAACCCGCGAGGGAAAUUUUCCUUACAUCGUCAUCUCUGUCUUUUUCUACGCUGUCUUCCUCUCGUUCGUCAUGGGACGAUGCUGCAGAGCUAAAUACGAGAGAAUCCAGAACAUCUAGUAAGGAGCAAAAGGGCAAACUCUCAGAAGAUUCUUCUCGAGGCUCUGGAAUGUCGGGUGUGACUCAUGUCAGGACGCAACCUGCUCCAUCUCGGUUAGGACCAGCUCAGCUGAGGAACAAGGGUUACGAUCCGGAGAGAAUUCCAGCAUCGGUGUUUGGAAAGACAGGGGAUUUGAAUUGGAGUGAAGUCUCGAAUGAUUCUUUGUUUAGUCUGAGAAUGUCCACCUGUCAAGCAUUUCGUCAAAGCAAUAUGAAACCUGAAGAAGUUCUGAUGUCGGGUGAGUUCUUGUCAUUCUCCCCGUCUCUACCAGUCAAGCCUGAGGAUGCAAAGAAGAAGAGAUCUCAAGUGAAAGAGGCAAAGAGUGUAGUGACAUCGGCCAGUCAUCAAGACAAGUCCUCAUCAACAACUCCAGUUGUCUCUGCUCUGAGUACUAUCCCCAGCAGUUUUUAUGAAUUAUAUCAAGCCCCGCCCACAAAAGCUCAAUCCUUUUCUUGUCCUGUCGGUGACAAAAAGAGCAAGAAGAGAAAGAAGACAAGAAAGAGCAAGAAGACGACGAAGAAGAAGAACAAGUCGUCUUUCAUAUGGUCUUGGUUGUUUUCAAGAUUUCCAAAGUGCGUGUGUAACUUUUGUUGCUACAAAUGGAGAAAGUGUGGCUGCUGCUUCAGAAGGCCAAAAGCUAUGGCUGAUAAGUCAUCAUGAUCAGAGUUUUUUUGACAUCUAAGCAAAUUCUGAAUUCUAAAUCUAUGCAUCUAAGCAAGUUUUUUUGACAUCUAAGCAAAAUGGUUAUCCAAUAUUAUUCUACUAUGGUCGAUAUUGAUAUUCCAUACUAUUUAAUCCAUUAUAGAAUGAGAUAAUAUUAGGAUUACAAGCUGUAUGGGAAAAUAUUAUGAGUGGUGCUGACUAUGACAAUGAAGAAGGCAUGGAAAAUGUACAACUAUUUUGACUUUGAAUUAUCAGUUCACACCAAACACACUAUCUAUAAGACAUAUUAAUACAGUAGAUAAGAUUCUUCAAUCAAUUAUGAAGAGUUAAUACAAGUUUUUGAUUUGGUUGAUUAUGGAAAUGACAAGGAUAGCCUUGGUGCCAGGGGAUCCGUAUAACGGCUGGAGAGAUGAAUAAUAACUUCUCUGGUCUUGGAAAAAAAGCAAUCAUUUCAAAGCGAAAGGAAAAAGGGAAAACGUAAAGGGCAGAGCCCUUUUUCUUCUUCUUCUUCGUGAAGAAGCUGCAUCCUCAGAUUUUUUCAAGGGUUUCUUUCGAUGCCCAGCUGAGAUAAAGGAAACGACUUUAUCUAAGCCAGCGAGAUUAUCAUCAGGUAAGCUAGAUUUGAUUCAUAGAAUCUUGUGUUUGUAUUUUAUUCAACAUGUUUUUUGUUCGCUAUUGAUCGGUUCUUCUUUGGCUUAACUCUAGGUUUAAUUGGUGUUAUUUGACAAGGAUCAUUGAUUACCCCCUGAAAACUCGAGCUUCUAGAUCUAUCGGAGCUCGUGGGUUGAUAAUCGCUUACUUCAAUCGAUGGGGUGCGAUUCUUCUUUCAAUUUCAAUUUAUUGCCUUUUAUUCGGAUUUGAGAUUCUGUUUGAUGGGUUUUGCUCCUGCGUUAUGUGCUGCUGGGUUCAUGAACCAUGAUAUGUAUAAAUCCUGAUUUUGUUGGUGGAUAGAUACCCUUUUACAAGGGAAGAAUGAAAUCUGUUUUGGCUUAUGUAGAUAGAUAGAGAUAUAUCUGAAGGCGAUUAGAUAAAUUGAUCGGAAAAACUAAUAGCUACAAUCUGAAAAUAAGGAUGUGUCUGGGCAAUGAUCAGAAGUUGUGGUUUUGUAACAGAGCAGUGGCUGCGUGGCUUGCUACAGAAAACAAAGAUCAACUGAAACCCUGAAGGAUCCACCUUCCAAUUCCAUAGCUCAAACGAUUACGAAACCGAGUGUCUCAGAAGAUUUCUGGUCAACAAGCACAAUUGAUAUGGACAACACCACCUUCCCUUCUCAGGGGAGCAUAUCAUCAAACCAGACUUUUGAUUCUCAAUCCGGUGCCAGAAACUCAAAUGCUCCUCCUGAAUUUGUAAACCAAGGUACUUGUAGAUUCAAGGCGGGAGCGUAUGGUCUAGUUGUUUUGCGAUGGUUAUAUAUGAAGUGGGUCUGUGUGUUUGCAGGUCUUCUUCUUUGGAAUCAGACCCGGGAGCGUUGGGUGGGCAAGGAAAGACUCAAUAACCCACCGGAUCGCAAUCAAGGAGCCAAGUUAAAGUGAGUGGCUCCAUUUACACACUAUUGUUUCCUCAAAAGCCAAGGCUAAGUAUGAAAAAUGGUUAACGGUUUAUAUGUGAUUAUCUGCAGUUGGAACGCAGCAUCUUAUGAUAGCUUGCUGGGGAGCAACAAGUUAUUUCCCCAACCUAUUCCUCUCACUGUAAGUAAUCAAACUCUCCCAAGUGCAGAAAAAUUAGGGAAAAUCCCUGUCAAAUUAAUUGUGUUGCUGCUGAUGAAAACAGGAAAUGGUGGAUUUUCUAGUGGACAUUUGGGAACAAGAAGGUCUAUAUGACUGAUGAACAAGACUUGAAAGACGCACAAACACACACACAUACACUCUGGUUCGGACAUUUCCGAUUUUUUUUUGGUUUCGGCUUUGUUUUCGUUUCUGAAAUCCCUUGUUGUAACCAUCUUUCAGUUGGAAUUGAUCUGAGAAAAAUGGUAUUGUGGCUCUUACUUUCUCACCGUAAAAAUGAGAAAAACCUUGUUGUACCAUCCUUCAAGUCAAAAGGCUUAAGACCAAAUCAGUAACACAAUCUAAGAUAUGUCUUUGUGUCUCUAUGUCCAAAUUUACACAUUGAUGAUCCUUCAUGUAUUUUCGUUGUUUUGUUUUAUGUUAGGAUUAAUGCGUCAUCGGAUAGAGGGAUUAGAUUAUUCCAACAAAACAAAGAAUCUAUAAUCUAUGCCUAAGUUUCACAAGAAAGAGUUGUAAAACAAAAAAUGUUCCGAGUAAGUAAAGUAUUUGGGCCAGUUAACAUGGGCUUGCAUUAUGUGGACUAGGUGGAUAGGAGAAUGGGAAUAAACAAAAAAGGUAUAUUCUCCGUAACACUACCGGUCACGUAGCGGACCUCAACUCCACUCUCUAUUCUAUAUUAUUUUUCUUUUGUUAUCAGAAAAAUCGCAUAAGCGGGAAACAGAUGCCACCUUAUCCAACGAUGAAGCGUCGGCUAAAUAAGGCACGUGUCGAGCUCAAAGAGGUCUGUCACUGAACUAUCACGUAGCCCCAGUGUAAAUUUAUCAUCAACGUACUCGUGGAUUACGUGGAGAAAGGAAAAUCAUUUUUAGUUAGAAAAAGAAAAUAAUAAAAAAAAGAAAGAGAGACAGAAACAGAAGGGACACGCAAACAUAUCCAUUAGGUCACAACGGUUCUUGCAACAGCUCUUAUUACCAGAAAGGAAAGAGAGAACGAAUUUUGUUUUUAAGAUAAAGGAUUUAAGUGAGAGUUUGUUUCUGUGGUACUGUGUCAGGUGAAAGAGAGACGAAGAUGGAAAACACUGACGAACUCGUUUCCAUUGAGCUCCCAGCUCCUGCUUCAUGGAAGAAACUGGUAUUUUCUUCCUCUCUUUUUUUUUUUGGCUUUUUCUCCCCACGAUUUCUUAAAAUUUCUGCUGUAAUUACUCUACUCUUUUCCCCUUUGAUUGAUUUCGUCUGUGUAAUGGGUUGUUUGUCUGUCCUGCUUUGUAUUUCGAGUUAGUUUAUUCUGUUUCUUAUGGUCUAGGGUUCAUGUUCGAUUUGGGGGAAUUUUAGGAGAUAAUUUGUUUCCAUGUGAAUUGAGGCUCUUUAUGCUCAAUUCAUGUUGGAAUUUUCUAAUUAGAUCAGAAUUUAACGCUUAGGGAUUUCUUUGGGAUCAAAAUUAGGGUUUCGAAUGAUAGACUCUCUGUCUAAGACCUAAACCCUAGAAUUGGUUGAUAAAAUUUGGGGCUUUUCUAUAGAUUGUGCCUGGAGAAGUCAUAUGUUGCUUACCAGUUCAUGCUUUGUCUAUGUGAAUAAAAUGGAAGCUUGUUGUUUUCAGUUUUAUCCGAAAAGAGCAGGUACACCGAGGAAGACAGAGAUUGUGUUCAUGGCUCCCACUGGGGAAGAGAUCAGCUCGCGCAAGCAGCUGGAGCAGUACCUCAAGGCUCAUCCAGGGAACCCUCUCAUCUCUGAGUUUGAGUGGACAACUGGGGAAACUCCAAGGCGAUCUUCAAGGAUCAGCCAAAAGGUGAAGGCAACAACGCCCACUCCCGACAAAGAACCCCUCCUGAAGAAGAGACGGUCUUCUCUCACAAAGAAGGACAAUAGAGAGGCUGCUGAGAAAAACGAAGAGGCACAACCAGCAGAGGCUUCUGUUAAGGAGAACGUGGAGGCUCACAAGGAUGGGCAGACAGAAAACGCAGAGUCUGCUGUGAAGGAGAACAUGGAAGCUGACACAGAAAACGCAGAGGCUAAGAAGGAGAAGGAAGGUGAGCAGGACGGACUGAAGGAAACUGCAGAGGGUGCUGUUAAGGAGAUCAAGGAGGGUGAAAAGACUGAGGCUGAGAAGGAGAACAAGGAAGGUGAAAAGACUGAGGCUGACAACAAAGAGGGAGAAGUUGUGACGGACGAGAAAGAGCCCAUGGAAGUGGCUACCUCUGAGGUGGAGAAGAAGACUGAGAGUGGAGAAACAGCUGAUGAACCUCCCAAAGUUGAAGACCUCAAGGACACUGAAAUGAAAGAGCCACAGGAAGUUGUUGCUGAGGGUGAUGGAGAGAAGAAGCCUGCAGAGGAAGAGACUGAGAACAAGGGCAGCGUAGCAGCAGAAGCUAACGGAGAACAGAAUGUGACUUCUGGUGAGCCUAACCUUGACGCAGACGCAGAAGCUAAUAAGGGAAAUGAAACCAAAGAAGCUGAUGAGAAGAAGACAGAUGGAGAGCCUAACCUUGAUGCAGCCGCGGAAGCUAAUAAGGGGAAUGAAACUGAUGAGAAGAAAACCGAAGCUGUAGCUGAGGAGAAAAGUAACGACAUGAAGGGAGAAGACGCAAACAGAGGCUUAGAGGCGAAUCAAGUCCAACAGCAGCAGGGCACUGC
rnacentral:lncRNA from 1 species